rnacentral:lncRNA from 1 species
UGUUUUCUUUCCCUGUUUCUUUUUGUCGGUGUCCUUCGUCUUUUCACUUCAAGAAUGGACUACACAGUAGAUGAUGCAUUGUUUUACGCUUCGAAGUCUUCUGAUCUGAACGUUUCUGCAUUCAGAUCUUGUCGUUCUCUGCAUUUUGAUUCCUUGAAUUUUGGCGAUUUAUUUGCUGUUGCUCUGUUUCGAAUGAUUUUAAAGGUUUGUUGACUAAUCUUGCUUCUACAUAUUGUUAAAGAGUUCUGGUCGAGUUUCGGUCACUAAUGUUGUGUUUGGUUGGCGAGAAAUCGUAAGAAAAUAAGAGGAAACUUGAAAUCUUACAAGAGCCACUUUCAUCUCUCUUUCUAUACUUUACCGGGAAUCUAGCGGAGUCUGAUCGUUAGAACGAUUGAGGGACGAGUUCUUUUAGUUUAGUGUAUGGCUAUUAAAAUUUUUGUAUGAGGAUUCAAUUUCAAUGGUUUUUGAAUCGAAUUAUAUGGUUUUAGUUGGACUAGUCUGUUCUUUUCUUUAUCUCCCUCCUUGGAGCAUAUAGUGGUGUGAAGUGUCCUUUGGAUGAGUUGGAGGUGUGGGUUAGAGAUUAUUCAUGCCUAUGUGAGUUCAGUUUUGCUCCAGUGAAUGGAUGGUUUAGUCCAGUCUUGGUCUUGCCAUGGGCCCUGCAGUUCAUCUGAGAUGACAACAUCUGAAUGGUAAAAUGCCGUUGAGUUGCUGGAGAGGAGAAUUUAGGAAUUCGAUGUUUCCAUGCUUCUGAGUGGUGAACAAUUGGUGGUUUCCUGUUAUCCAUGUUUGAGAUCUGAUUGCAUAAGAAUUGCAUAGUUCCAAUUUUUUUUUUCUCUGUUCGACUCUGGCUCUUAUAUAUGGUGUCAAGCAAAAUUUAUGUUUGUUCAUUGCAUCCAAAGAAUGGAACACAAAAAGAAGAGUUCCAAUGCAUUGCAUAAGCUUGAGGUCCUUUCCAUUAGAUUUGAAGUGGCAAGAUCAUGCACAGGGUAUGAAAAACAUCGGCCCAUAUUUUGUAAGCAUGAACUUCCCUCACCAUUUUCAGUGAAAGGGGAGAAAGGAAUAAUGAGUUGGUUGUGCAUCAUUUUCUUUGGUUCUAUCUGUGCUGACGAUUGUUCUUAUACUACUAUAUUUUUGUGGUUCCUCUGCAGUAGGCUAUGAAUUUUCUCCCUGUGAAACUCUUUACCGUGCCAACAUAAUAUUUUGCAAACUCAAGUCAAGUCCAACAUGUCUGGUUGUAAACAUCAUUUUUAGGAUUAAAACUUUGACUUGGUAGUAUCUUAUGCUAGUUGUUUCUUUGAAUUCUAACUGAGCUCCUUCAAAUAAAGUGCUCUACAAGAGCUGAAAAAGAGACCCUGAACUGCAUCAAGAAAAAUACCUGCAAAAAAAACUGAAUAUAAAGCUUAUUAUGCUGAACCAGAAUCCAGUAACUCGAUCAGUUAUUUGGACAUGGGUUCAGAACACUCUUUAGUUUACAUAAGACAUGUUUUUAACCUUGUAUAUUAUGCGGUCUAUGCCAACAGGUUUAAGGAGGUGCCUUGAGAUAUAAAGUCCUGUGAAAUGGUUGCCAAAGAGAACAAGGAUGAAAUUAAAGAUAACCAUUCUAGUGAUUUGGAGAAAGAGCCUAAGCCAGGAAAGGAGGAAGAGUCUGAUUCUGAAACAAGAAGAGAUUCGGUAUCAUCUCAAGGGGAUUCACAGACAGCUGACGAUGAGAAAGUAGAGAGAGCUUCAAGAGUUCCCAAAAGGAUUGCCAAAAAGGAUUCCUCUGACAACCAUUCUCAUGCAUCAAGAGUGAGAUCUGAUCGUGAAACACAUAAAUCACAAUCCAAGCCAUUACAUAACACUCCUAAGAAAUCUCCAAAAUCCAACAAAGGGCCUUCUAAAGUGACUACAAAAAAUUCCCCCAAUACUAAUUCUAAAAAUAUGAAAGUUCCUCCAAAACCCUCAUCAGAAUCAUCUGAAGGAAUUGAUGAUAAACCUAUUGAGGAGGUAAAGGAAGCAGAUCUCUUGGAUGGAGCCUCAAAUGGUGUUCAGAGUGUUGGAAGUGAUGAUGAGACAGUUGAUACUGAGGAAAAUGGUGAGCAUGAAGACAAGGUUGCUUUGGAUCAAAGGAUAGAAGAAAUGGAAAUGAGAAUUGAGAAACUUGAAGAGGAGCUGAGAGAAGUUGCUGCUCUUGAAAUUUCACUCUAUUCUGUGGUACCAGAGCAUGGGAGCUCAGCACAUAAGGUGCACACACCUGCACGACGGCUUUCUAGACUCUACAUUCAUGCUUCAAAGCAUUGGGCCCAACAUAAGCGAGCCACAAUUGCUAAAAACACUGUGUCUGGGCUUGUUUUGAUUGCCAAGUCCUGUGGUAAUGAUGUUCCGAGGUACGCCAAUUAUCAUGUUUUUAAGUCAAUGCUUUGGGAUGCUAUGCUCAAUUAUUGUAUACUGAUCUAACAAUGUUCUUCUUCCUUGUUUGUUUUCUUCUUUUCUUUUUCUUUUUCUUUUUCUCUUUCAAAAUUAAGGCUAACCUUCUGGAUGUCAAACACCGUUGUGCUGAGGGAGAUAAUAUCUCAAGCAUUUGGCAAUUCAUGUCAGUCUAGCCCAGUUGUAAGGUUUUCUGAGUCAAAUGGAAGUGGGAAGAAAAGUGACGGAACAUCUUUGACACUGAAGUGGAAGGGUAGUUCUGGUGGUAAACAAGUAAACAAACUUGGUUUUGUGCAAUUUGUUGAUGAUUGGCAGGAGACAAGAACCUUCACUUCUGCAUUAGAAAAAGUUGAAUCCUGGAUUUUCUCUCGGAUUGUUGAGUCAGUAUGGUGGCAGGUAAAAAAUACACAAGUUACUGUAUGAUUAAUGAAUUAAAUUUGAUCCAAACUGUUGAAAGUAAUGUAAUCUAACUAAAGAUCUCAUACCCAUAAGUCAUGCACGAUAUGCAAAAAAAUCAACCUGUUAAGUGACAUGCACAAUUAUUAAUAUAUAUCUCCAAAUAUGAAAAUAAGCAUUUUAUUUUUAUUUUGCUAGUAAAGUCUAUGUGUAAGUUACUAUUAUGUCUGAUUUAUAAUUAUAAGUGGCUUUUAAUGUGCUAUGUUCCUUAAUUCUCUCACUAUCUUAUGGUUUCAGACUUUAACUCCGCAUAUGCAACCUCCAGUUAAGGAUUCCUAUACCAAGAAAACCAUUGAACGUCUAUUAGGACCUGCCUUAGGUGAUCAGCAGCAAGGGAGCUUUUCCAUUAACCUUUGGAAAAAUGCUUUUCAAGAUGCCUUUCAAAGACUUUGUCCUGUUCGAGCAGGAGGGCAUGAGUGUGGUUGCUUGCCUGUAAUAGCAAGAAUGGUAAGUGCUUUAAAAUAAAAAUUUGCCUUUUCUAUUUUUAUUUUCAUUUGCAAAAGCAAUGGAGAAUAAACCGAAGACCAAAACUUUUCAUGUUUCAACUUUUUAGCAGGGCUGACUUGUUUAAGCUUUUAUAUUCUCUGAAGGGUUAACUAGAUGUUUCUGUCUGCAGGUAAUGGAACAGUGUGUUUCCAGAUUAGAUGUGGCAAUGUUCAAUGCUAUUCUACGUGAGUCUGCCCAUGAGAUCCCAACUGAUCCUAUAUCAGAUCCAAUUGUUGAUUCCAAGGUUCUGCCUAUUCCAGCUGGAGACUUGAGUUUUGGAUCUGGUGCUCAACUUAAAAAUUCUGUAUGUAUUGACUUACUUUACAUAUAUGUGGCUUGCAUAUUUUGUGUGAAAGUUGCUUUAUCUUCAUCCAAGGGGUAGUUAGUCCUCUGAUUUGUCAGCCAGUAUAGAAGAAUCCAGCCUUGAUUAACUUCUAGGGUAAUUGACAAACCAUUAUCGUGGUGAAUACAUGAAGGCAGAUCAGUUACAGUUAGCAACCGCUAUUGUAAUUCAUUUACUUUGCUUCUUUCUGGACAAAAAUAGUGGAAACAACUCCUGAUUUCUUUAAGAACAUAUGCCUGCCAUAAUAAGGGAAAAGAAGAUUUAAUUAGGGGAAAAAUGCUUUUAGUCAAAGACACCUUAGCUCCAUCACAAACAAGUGGAAAACAAAUUUUCUCCAGGAAUGAGUUCCAUUGUGACAAUGAAGCCUUCUUGGUAGAUAAUUUGUGGUUAAGUUGGCAAUUUAAAACCUUUUCAGCUUUUUUAUAGGCAAUUGAAAGCUUCAAACAUCUCAUUGUUCCACUAUUUAGAAUUGAUGGGCAUUUCAGGGUACAGAUUUAUCCUCUGUCAUGUAAUUGUUACUAGAAAAGGGGAGCUGUUGAAAAAAGGAAUCAUAUCCCAAAUGACAAUGGAAAAAAUGUAUCUUGGAUUCCCUCUUUAAUGAAAAUUCUGAACUUCCACAUUCAGAGAUUAUGUACACUCAUUUAAAAUGCUAUAGAAACAGAAUGGUCUCUUUAAAUCCUCAAAACAGUGAAUUUAUCUCAUUUUUAUGAGGACAUCCAAAAUGCCCUCUGAUUGUAAGAAUAAUCAUACACAUGUCAGCAACAGGUACAAGGAGUUAGGCAUUCAAAGCGUUUCUAGGUUUAUAUCAUCUAUGGGAAGACCCUUGUUUUCUAUGGAAUGAUCAUGUUUACAAGUUUUAAAAUCACAUGGAGUUUGCUUCCCAUGCAGGUCGGAACUUGGUCCAGAUGGCUUACUGAUUUGUUUGGUAUGGAUGUUGAUGAUUCCCUGGGAGAAGUUCAGAUCAAUGGUGAGGAUGGUGAAAGCCAGGGUGGACAUGAUGAACCCAAAUCGUUCCAUCUUCUUAAUGCCUUAAGUGAUCUUCUGAUGCUUCCAAAAGACAUGCUAAUGGACCGAUCCAUUAGAAAGGAGGUUAGCCUUAUAAUAAUAUACUUUCAUUCAAGACAUGUAAUAUUUCCUUGCUGCUCCUCUAACUUGAUGCAUUUUUUUGGUUGUCAUGUUUUUAACAUGAAAGGUGUGCCCAUCAAUCAGCCUUCCAUUGCUUAAAAGAAUACUUUGCAACUUUACACCAGAUGAGUUCUGCCCUGAUCCUGUCCCAGGAGCUGUGUUAGAGGCAGUGAAUGCUGAGGUAGAUUUUGCUUACCUUUGAAAUCUCUUCCAGAAGUUUUUUAGGAGUUGAGUAGGUACACUAAAAUAGUACAUUGGGCAAUUAUUCAAUAUUCAUUAUUUUGUGGAUGCUAUUAUUUUGUAAUGGCUCUUCAUAAACACCAGAAGACAAAACAAGUGGAGUUCAAAAACUUAGGUUGGGGUUGGAUUUUUUGGUCUAGGUUUGAGUUCCAACAGAUAUGAAAGAAAAUGUCAAGGGAAAAAAAAUGGUUUGGAGUUUCAAUGAUUUUUUACCCUUUUUCUGAACUUAUUGUGGGGAGAAAAAUAUUUCCAAGUGGCAAUUAAAAACCAGAAACAUCAACAAUUAAUCACGGUUCCAGCUCUAUUAAGGGUGGCCAUUUAUUGUUCUGUUCCAGCUUUUCAGAUUCCAUUUGGAGAAUAAAUGAUGUUCUAAUGGAGGACUGAACAUUUAAAUUGGAGAUUUUCUAUGAUAGGUCACUGAUGAUUCCCCAUGAAACUUUCUUGUCUCAAUAAUAUGCUAUCCACACCUUUACUGAUGGAAAUGCCACCUAGGCCUAUCAUCUUCUGCUUCUGUUUCUAAACAUAAAAAAUUUCAGAAUCUUGCUAUGGCCGAUUGAAGGACAAAGAUGCUGAAAUAGAUGGCUGAUCCAUCGCUAUUUCAUUUUUCCAGAGUAUUGUAGAGCGAAGAUUAUCAGGAGACUCUGCCAGCAGCUUCCCAUAUCCAGCUACCCCUGUUCUGUAUGCUCCUCCUUCCUCUGCUGACGUGGCAGAGAAAGUUGCAGAGGCAGGUGGGAAAUCACAAUUGGCGAGGAAUGCGUCUAUGGUACAGAAAAAGGGGUAUACCAGUGAUGAAGAACUGGAGGAACUGGAUUCUCCCCUCACGUCCAUCAUUGAGAAAAUGCCACCAUCUCCAUCUGUUGUAAGAAACGGAAAUGGAAAACACAGUGAGGAAACAGGCCAUAAUGGCUUAAAUGCAAGGUAUGAACUCCUUCGUGAGGUUUGGUCGUCGUGAAUGGUGCUUGUGAUUACAUUAAUACAUUAAUCAGUUAUGCUGCUGCUGUUUGCAUCAAAGAAUAUCAUGAAGGGAAUCGCAGGAGGAUGUUCUCUAAUGCGUCUGGGGAGAUGCUCUGUUGUAUAUGUUAUAGUGUUACACAUAUAGAGAGAUUUUGUUGCAUUCAGUAAAUUAUUUUUCAGUUAUUUGAAAGUUAUACUUGUAUUCUUAAGAAAGAUUCUUGUUGUACUGCUUCUCCAUGGAAAAAAAUUCCUUAAUCCUUGUCGUAGAUUGUUUUAUUUGUAGCUCAGUGCAAAAUUGCAAAUUGCAAAAUCCUGGUGCCCCUGGGGCUUUCUCAGAACAUGGGCCAAAUUGGGGUUUGGGCCUGAUGAAAUGGGCUGGCCCGUCAAAUAGUUAUUUGGUGGACAGCCCUGGCCGUGCACCACUGGAUGUGGAUGGCCCACGGUUGCACCUUUGGCCUUCUGGCUUUAGGGAAGCUAAAAUCCAACAUUUUGAUUGAUGUAUUGAAGCGUUGGGUUUGUUCUCAGUAGCAAAAUUAACUGCGAUAUUUUGAACUUCUGCCUCCAGAAUCUCUCUCUCUACUGGUAUUAGAAAAACUUCUGCCUUUCUUGAGGUUCACCCGCCCCUGAUAAAUUGCGAAAAUUAACACACCCAAAGAACGUUGCAGGCAGUUUUAAUACUAUGGAUGCUUGACCGUAAAAAUCCAAUGAGCAUGAAUCAUCUUCAUUCGAGAAUAAACUAUUAUUUCAUACUUGUAAUCAUUCUUCACCAUAGGAAAGUUAAUGAAUAUUAUCUCAAACAUCAGCGCACAAGGAAAAAACUAAUUAUCAACUCUUUUACAAAAAUUCAAGAAUGAGGCUUUGCCCUAAUUAACCCCACCCUAUGGUAUAGGGCUUAAAUCCGCUACUCGCCUCCACACUAUUGGCCAGAGACCUUCCAAACUGAGCUGCAAGCUGGGCUUUUCGAGCAUGGAGGACUCCUCACAAAUGGAAUAUGCCCACUUCAGGAGGUCCAUUGUAGACAUGAUCUGGUUUGUGGGCUUCCCUCUUUGCCUGUUAUCUGCAUGUUUGUCAGAGAGUUUGCAGAUAUUAGAGAAAGUGGGAGGUAGAGCUUGAAGACGAAGUUUUUUACUACCUUCCAUCUUCUGGUUUAAAGUUGAAAGAACUGGAGAGGCUCAUACCCAUGCCUAAGCUUCUGCAAUGCCUGAUAUUUUGGAGUUUAAUAUUUAUAUAUAUAUAUAGGUCAAGUUUGAGGAGUUAAUAUUUAUAGGAAAACGAUUGAACUCAACUUAAAAUCUUUAAUCAUAUGACAUAUUAGAAAUUUUAAGUUCUCAAAGAAGUAUUAUAAUGAAGGUUCAUAUCUGGUCACAUUACUCAGGUUCAUAUCUGGUCACAUUACUCAUACUUUUCGAUCAAUUUUUUCAUAACCUUCACAUUCUACAUAUCCCGAAUCUCUUAAUACAUAUUUAAGUGACCUUGAAGUUAUACACCAUUAAUAAAAAGUGAUAUUAUGUGAAGACUAAGGUGGUGUUUGUUUUUUUUUUUUUGCUUAAUUUUAAAUAGAAAUUUAAUAUUUAAUAAUGUUAAAUAUUAUGUUGUUUGUUUUUAUAAUAUUUUUUUUUAUAUUAAGUAUUAAAAAGUAAAGAAAAAACCAAUAUGUUAUUUUUUUAUUUAGAAAAAAUUAAAUAUUUUGACUUUUUUAUUCAGAAAAAAUUUUAUAAUAAGUUAUGAAAAGGUAAAAAAACAAACAACCUAAAUUCUGAAAACAAAUUGCUUUCAUUAAAAAGUCAAAAAAACAAACAACCUCUAACCCUUAUAUAUUAUACUUCAGUCAUAAAUGGACCGCUUAAUUAAGCAUCAUAUCAUUAUAUAAAGGUUCAAGUUUAACACUACCCGUAUAACAAGCUCUAUGUCAUGAAAUUACACCAGUGUGUUCAAGUGUAGCCACAUAAUCUUUACAUAUUGAGACCAGGACGGCUUGGGUCUGCUGAGAAACUCUUAACUGAGCUGGAAGGGACAUCAAACUCAGUUUUGUCUGCUGGAAAAUCUUCAAUCCACCAUCCAUCUUCUGCAUUUUCCGGGGCCAAGUCUUCUCCAACAGUAGUUCCAUUUGUUUGCACCACGCCACCUGCCAUAUCAGUAGAAUUAUUUCCAGUUACAGUCACUGUUGUAUUCCCCUCCAACAUCCAGCUCCUCCGCCCGUUGAAAUCGGCGUUGGUUCUGGUUCCCCUUGCAGGGCUAGUCAAUCCAUCAAAGAAACCAGGGCUGGGCUGAGGAGGAGGGUUUUGGAUACCACGGAGCCCGAAGAAUCUAGGGUUUUGCUCCAGGGCGUCGAGGAAAAAGUUUUCGUACUGCGGGGUUGGUAGGGUCUGAAACUGUUGAGAUGGUGGCAAUGGUGAAAUCCCCCUCAUAAGUCCAAAGCUGUAAGUCUUACCAGCUCCGUGAAUAGUAGAAAAUCGCCCCAAAUUCCCACUGGUUGUCAUCCCACUACCAGUGCUAGUAAACCCAAGAAAAUUAUGGAUAGGUUGAAAGUUAGGGUUUUGGUAGCCACCAAGAAGGAAGGAGCUAGGGUUUUGAUCCUGGACCUGGUUGAUACGACUGUGAUUUUGCCGGAACCGAAGAUACUGGUUCUCUGGGGCUGGUUGAAUCGGCGUUUGUUCAACUGGGUUUAGUUGCUGAAUCCCACUACCAAAUCCAUGGGCAGAAUUGGGGUUGGUUUGAAAAUUAGGGUUUUCAUGGGCACGAAGAAGGGAGGAGCUAGGGUUUUGAUGGUCUAGAUGUUGGCCAUGGUUGGCAGAAGUGUAACUCCGAUGAAAUUGAAGAUUUUGCUGUCCCGGGGCUGUUAGAUUCUGAAUCUGCUCGUCAGAUGGUUGAACUUCAGGGUCAGGCUGGGGGCUUCUCGAGUUUCCAUCUUCCGGCACGUCCGGUACCUUCUUUGCCUUCCUCUUUGAAAGAACUUCAUCCACUGAAGUAUUUUUUACGUACUUUGAAGCACCUUCACCAAUCGGGAGCUUAUUACUUGCCAGUAUGCUCAUGACAUUGUACUGACCAAGAUCAAAAUUGGUAAUUGCCUCCAUGCCAUUAAGCCUUAUCGAAGCAAUGUCAUAAGCCCUAGCUGCUUCAUCUUCGGUCUCUGUCAGCACAAUUGAAGAUUGAAUACUCAGAUCAGUAAGGCAAAAGUGGAAUCACCCCAACAUACUCAAGUGGCAGAGGGUCACUCUCCACCAAACAGUUGAGAUCAUUUGAGGGUUUUGAGCUAACAGUUAGAGUCUAAGUCCCACCAAGGUAGAAGCUAGAGCUAAUCAAAAUAUGUGAUCCAAGAGGGGAAGGACUUACUGAAUGUCCCUAAGUAAAUGCCUCGCAAUCCUUUGCCUCUACCUAACCUUGCUUGCCAUUUCUCGCCGUCAGCAUUCCUGUCCCAAUGCUUGGCCAUGAGAGACAGAAGGAGAAAACAUGAGUGAUAGGAAAGAGGAGAGAAAAAGACAGAUACUUGGAAACUCCGCGAUAUUGAGAGGCGCCUUUAGCAAAGCCCAUACUUGUCCUAAAAUUCGUUUGUUUCAAACUAUAGUUAAUAUAUAUGGUCUCCACAAGAAAUAAUUUCUUUGCAUUUCAAGAAAAUAUAAAGUAAAAAAAGUGAAAAAAAAUGUAUAAAUCAGAUUAUACAUACACGUUAUAUAUAUAUCCAAGUAAAUGCAGUUGUAAUUAAGGGAUUUCAAUGGAAAUGAAUCAAACCACACACCAUUAAUUUUGAUAGUCUAUGAAAGAAUGGAUUAAGUAGAAUCUUACCUUCUAAGGGCUACCAGAUAAUCUUUUUUCGACAUGUCCUUCAUCACCUCCAUUUCCUUCUGAUAAUUACUUAGCUGCAAUGAUACAAGUACAGAUUUAAAAAAAUUUGUCACCCUUGCUAAGUAUAAAUGAACUCUCAUACCAACAUACUUAAGCAUCCAAAUCAUAAAUCCAGUCUGGGUCCAUCAAUGUUGAGAACCAUACCGGGAAAUUUGUGGGGACUGAUCUGCCCCAGAACUUAAUGGCAGCUAAAUCAUAAGCCCGAGCUGCCUCAUGUUCUUGUCGAUAUACACCUGCAGAAUGAGAAAGAGGAAUGAGAAACCGUUGGUGACCAAAAACUAUGUUGUGCUGUCUUAGUGGGAGAACUGUGUUGAAGAUUAUGAACUGAAAAUUAAUCUUGUACUUACCAACAUAAACUUCCAGAUGUGAAGCAAGCAACAGAAACCAGAUGAGGAAAGAGAAGGGAGUUAGUAAUAUUCACGAGAGGAUUCUUAUAAGGUGAAGGAACAAAACUUGGAAAGUAAAGAACAACAAAUAAUUAAUUAAUGAAUAAAAUAUUUAAAUGAACUCAGCUACCUGUUCUUCCUUUUCCUUCAUUGUCCCACAGAAAUGCCUCAUAGUGUCCUGUAUGCUUAUAUCUAUUUUGGAGGGAAAGGAAGCAUUUGCAGGUGAGAGAGCGGCAUAUGUUUUUUCGAAAACAAUUAAAGAUAGACUAACACCAUAGACAUAGAAACAAACCUACUAACUCCUCGAUAGCGGGGGGUUCUUUCUCCAAAAGCUCGCUCUGGAGCUCUAGAACGGCCUCUACGUCGAGACACCUUAACUGAAGACUUGUCCUUCAUGCCCUUUUUCUUCUCACCACUUACACUAUUACAGCUGCUUGUGGAGAUUUGUUAAAAAAUAAAAACAUUGAAAAUUAUUAUGUUAAACAAUAGAGAUGAGAUAGACCACAACCUAGCUUGUCCUGGAUGUAUUGCAUCAGUACUACUGGUUCAGUUGGAUUUUCUGGGCUUCCUUCAACAAUGCCUAUAUUAUUAACCCUCCCAGUACUCUUCUUGCCAUUCAAAUCUGUGUGAUCACUUUCCAUGGAUAGAUUAGAUCAUUUCCCAUGGUAUUAUUAUGACUUGAAUCUAGGGACUUCUGCAGAGGAUAUGUUAUUAAUAUACUACUGCUAAUUGGAGAAAUAAUUAGAACAUGCACCAUUUUUAUUUUGAGGAUCCUGAAUUGAACAUUAAUGUUCAAACAAUAAGAAAGCAAGUUUACAAAAAAGGAUCAAUUCAUUUUGGCAUAGAUGAUAAUAAUGCACGCGUCAUGGAGCGGUCAAUUAAGGUUUUCUAGUUCAUCUUCUCACAAUUGUGCUGGAAUGAUAAUGGCCCGCAUCGCGACAUAAAGGGGCAUGCAUGUCAUAUAUUAGGGGGAAUAUACUUCGGUUCCACGCAGCAAGACGUGGCACCUUGCAAUUGCUAGAACUUGUUCUAGCAUGCAUGACCAUGGAUUAGCCAGUUCCUAUUUGGAAUGUUGCAAUUUCUUGAUCGCUGCCAUUUUCUACGUACUACAUUACAAAUAGUGAUGGUAAGUAUGAUUAGACAAUCAACAUAAUGAGAAGAAAAUGAAAAAAGAGUAGGCCACAACAGUGGGAAAUCCUCUGAAGAUAUCAAACAUGGAAGCAUACUGAUCAUCAAAGGCACAGAACAAUAAAAUUUGACAAACAUAAUCAAUGGAGUCACUUGUAUUAUAGUAAUAUAUGAUCCUUCCCUAUCAAAUCAAUCAUUAACUAAACCAAAUUAAUUAAUGAAACUGUCUUUAAGUUGGAAAUAUAUAGAAGCUUAAAUUACAGAAAUGGGAUACAAAAUGUUUGCAGCUACUACAUUGAAAUUAAUUUCCAUAUAUAAGGGCACAAAACAUAGUACUGAAGAAGGUGGCCUAAAAAUAUUACCCAGUUGCACCACAGUUAUAAUCAAGCUUCUUUCAUCUUAAUUUACAAAGGAUAUCUACCAAUGAAACUAGCUAAUAUCAAAGUCUUAUAACCAUAGAUAUCAUUCACAACUCGUGAGAACUACAAAUUAAACUCACAUAAAAGCAGCUGUAAAAGCAAAAUUAAAAGAUACAUGGAUUACUGCUUACGCUUAAAGCAACCUAGCUCACAGUUGCAGCCAUGGGCAUCUCUCUUUGAUCAUCAAACAGAUACCUGAAAAAUCAAAUAUACCGACAAGAGAUUUUAAAGCAAGAGAGAGUUAUUAUAUGCUGAAGAUCAGAACCAGUAGAGAUCUGAUAUUUUUCUUCCAUAUAUAAAUCCAUGAAGCAAUAUUUGGCAAAAAAGUUAUAUUAGAAUAUCACUUGACUAGUUAGGUUUUCUAAUCAAAUAAACGAAGCUCAUAUGUUGCAGAAGAUCUAACUCAAAUAAAAACUAAGGGCAAGAUAUAUAUAUAUACAUAUGUGCAUGAUACCUUCUUGUUACUUGGAGGGAGUCCCUAUCUUUCCUCUCUUUCUUCUCUAAUUGAAAACCUCAAAAAAAGGAAAUUAAAACCCAACAAAAAAACCAAGAAAGAAAGGGGGAAAAGCCGCAGCAAGCUCUCUGGGUGGCUAUUCCAAAAGCAAAACAAGAAAAAUGGUGAUGAAAUGAGGAAGAAGAGGAUACAGGAAAGAAGAUAUCUUCACUCCAUUAGUAUCAACACAUGGCACUUGAGAGGCUUGUCAACCCCUCCUUUUUCUCUCCUUUUCUCACUCACCAGUACUCCCAUUUUGUCACAAUCUAUCUCAGUGGAUACGACUCAUUAAUCUCUUGUUUAUCUCUUCAUUCAUUUUUUGUCACAACAUAUCACAGCUUCUACACUCAUUUCUCCGUGACUUGGUGCAGUCUCUUCCAUGGAUGCAGUGGUUAAUAACUCUAGAUUUCACAAAUCAAUCAACUCAUUUCCAAACGGACCUCAGCUUGCCACGUCAUCAAAAUGGGGUCCACUCAUCCACCAACUUUGUAUAAAAGUCAAUGGUCAACGCCUAUGGGUGUUUCUUGUUAGUAUCGAUACAUGCAACCUUCUUCUUAAGUGGGGUGUAUAGAAAUGGAUUCUUCCCAAACCCUAGCUAGUCCAAUUUUAGUUGUCAUUUGGUUAUUGUAGUUUUACAUUCCAAACAGAGUCCAAGCAAUAUAUAAAACAACAUUUCAAGAUAAUCUUAAAAAACAAAAAUAAUUCUUUUAAAAUUUUUUUAUAUAGUAUAUAGUUAUGAUUACAAUUGAAUUUUUUUAAUCUAAACAAUAUAUAAAAUAAAAUUUAUUAUAAAUUAAAAUAUAAAAUUUAUUAUAUACAACUGACAUUUUCAGGACAGAAAAUAUUUUUUAAAAACCAUUUUCAUUUGUGAUGUCAACUGACCCAGAAUAAAUAGAUUGGGCCCUUGUAAAGUUCGAGCCCAAGCCUUGGAUAUAGCUCCAGCCAACCAACAUUUCUUGGGUUGAGCAACGCAAGGGCCCAAACUCGAUACCCAUUCAACCUUAACGUUGAAUUGGGCCAGUCCAAUCCAACAAAACUCACUUUCAAUCAAAUUCAGGGAAAUUGUAGAUGAUCAAGACCUACUGCAUUGAUCAUGUUCUUUAAUAAAAAAAUUUUAUACUAUGAUCACUUUCAUGAUAUCCUGGUCUCUAUCAUUCUUUCUUACUAUGAUGACAUUCUUCAUUUCUAGUCAUAUUCGUUGGACCCUCAAUCAUAUGUUUUUUUUUGUACCGUAAUCACAUAUUUCUUUUACUCAUGAUGACCCUUUUUUUUUUCCUAAUGUUUUUACAGGCCUCCAAAUGAAAUUGACCAACAGAUUUGGACUUUUGUGACAUCAAAGAUUAAUCCGGCAAAUCUCACAUCAUGUUUUCAAUUUUUUUUUCUCAACGCUCCAUACCAAAAUUCCCAGAAAAACCCAUGUUUUCACUUCCUAGACAAUGGAAUCCCACUUCACAUUUCCUGAGGUACCAGGAGUUUCUUUCACUGGGAAAGGAAAAACCCUAAAAUGGGAAUUCCGAUUCCAGGACGUAUUGGAAUGUAGUUUCCCAAUUCUUUUCUGACUAAAAAACAAAAAAUCCGUCUACAAGAAAGCAAUGUUUCUAGGGUGGCACCCAAGAGUAGUAUUGACAAGGAAAAUAUGUUGUAUUACUAUCAAUGAGAAUCCCAAAAUCAAAUUCUGCUGCAGAACACAGAAAACCAUUUCCAAACAGGUUUUCCCCGACCACCCCACUCCAACAAAAAGAGCCCUGUGGGUUCAAACCACCAUUUCCAAACAGGAAAAUUACUCCAAAAUUAGUGAAAUCAAGUUGGAUUUUUACAUAUAAGACAAGACAUUAAACUGAACUGGUUGAAGUGUGGUUUAGUGUUCAUCAGAUUGGAGCUGAUGAAUGCUCAUCUGAAGUUCCAAUGGACAACUCCAAAUCUGGGAUGUGGGGGUCUUUGAGCUGAGGGAUUGAAGUGCUCUCACAACUUCAAACAUGGUCGGCCUUUUCUCAGGCAUUACAGAGGUGCAUCUCAGGGCCAUUUCCAGAGCACCCAGCAUCUCUUGCUGUGAAGAGUUUGAAAUCUUGGGGUCAAGAACUUGGAGAGCUCCAUCGGUAAUGUUGAUUUUCCGUCUAACCCACUUCACAAUAUCAAUAGACUCUGCUGAUUCUGCUUGCUCGGCUUGCCGGCCUGUCACGAGCUCUAGCAGCACAACACCAAAGCUGUACACAUCCAUUUGUUCUGUGGCUCUCUUGCUGUAUCCAUUUUCUGCAUUUGAACAAUGAGGGUGGAUAAGAAAAUUGAGAUACAGAGAUAUAUAUACAUAUAGCAAGAAGUUUAUAGACGCCCAGAAGAUUUGUACCUGGUGCAAUGUAACAUGAGAAAGCAGAUUCUGAAGCCAUGGUCGAUUGAAAUGCAGUUUCUCCCACAAUCCGAUCCAGAGCGAAAUCCGUGAGCUUUGGUUCCAAAUCUGCAUCCAGAAGGAUGUUUUUGGACUUGAGGUUUCUGUGAAGUAUAUGUGGAACAUAGUCCUUGUGAAGAUAUGCUAAUCCUUGAGCAACCCCAAUGGCAAUCCUCAAUCUAGUACUCCAUUGAAACUGAAAAUCUGGUCUGCAUAUCAAAUCCCCCAAGCUCCCCUUCUGCAGAAACUCAUAUAUCAGAAAGAUAGAGUCACUGGAGUGGCAGAACCCCAGAAGUUUGACUAUGUUCUUAUGCCUGAUCUUGGCCAAUGUCUUUACUUCAUUCUUCAGUGAUUUUGAAGACUGGCUCCCAGGAUUGAGAAGCUUCUUGACAGCCACAAGCUCACCACUUGGUAAGCUUAUGAUGUAAACUCUACCAAAAGCUCCACCACUUCCUACCGCGCUUUUCUCAUCCAUUCCCAUGAUCAAGUCAUGCUCUGUGACUCUAAGGGGGUAGAAGAAAACUGAUCUCCAGACACCCAUUUGAGAUUUCCGCUGGGAAGUCCGAUAAAUCACAAAGAACCCAGCUGCAAUGAUCAAAAUUCCAGCACCAAGAGCCAGAGAGAUGAGGGCACAUGCUAAUUUUGUAAGACCACCAGCCUUAUGUAUGGGCUCAUCAUCAUAACAAGAAUUGGGUAAUCCUGGGCCACAAAGUUCCGGAUUUCCUUGCAGAAAUGAAGCCGGAAGGCCGGAGAUCAAAGGGAAUGGAACCUUUCCGGAGAGGUGGUUGAAGGAUACAUUAAAGAGAGCAAGUUUCAAGUUUUGAAGCUCCUGUGGAAUUGAACCAGUGAGAUUAUUAUCCGAAAGGUCAAGGUAAGUGAGCACAGGUAAUUCAGCGAGGGAUGCAGGGAUUUGCCCAACAAGACUGUUGUCCGCCAGAGACAAUGAGACUAAUUUCCGGCAUUUCUUCAACUCUGGAAUUAGACCAGAGAGCGAAUUGUGGGAGAGAUUUAUUAUACUCAUAACUGGUGAGUCACAGAAAUUUGGAGGAAGUUCACCAUAGAAGCCAUUAAGAGAUGCAGAAAAUCUAUAUAAGCUCCGGACUGACCCAAGGCCCUGAGGAAUUUUACUAGUGAAGCUGUUGUUAUCAAUCUGAACUUGCUCCAACUGAGCAGCCACUGAUAUGGAAUCCGGUAUUUCCCCAGAAAAUCUGUUGUUUUCAGCUCUAAUGAGCUUGAUUUUGGGUAAUGACCAUAACCCAUUUGGGAAAUCACCAGAAAACCCAUUGUUCUGAACUUGAAACCUCUCAAGAUUCAAGCACUCACUAAUGGAGUUGGGUAUUGAACCACUGAAGGAAUUUGUAUGGAGGCUGAGGUUUAUGAGGCCUUUUCCUCGGCAUAUGCCAGUGGGAAAUGAACCCAGAAGGUUGUUUUGUGAAACAUCAAAAGAUACCAAGUUCUUAAGAGAAGCUCCUAGUGUCUGAGGUACCCCACCAGUCAGAUUGUUCUGAGAGAGGUCCAAAAUGGUUAACCCCUGCAAGCCAGCAAAGGAUUGAGGAAUCUCACCAUAAAAACCAGAGCUUUGGAGUAGAAGCUGCUUAAGCUUCUCAAGCUUGCCAAUGCCACCAGGAAUCUCACUCACCAAAAAUCGAUUUUGAGACAAAUCAAGAACAAGAAGCUCAGUGAAAUUCCCAAAAACAGAAGGAACACUACCUGAAAGCAAGUUGCUUCCCAAGUUGAGAACUUGCAGAUUCUUCAGUGACCCUAUGGUUUCUGGGAUCUUCCCUUCAACGUGGUUUCUGCUGAAAUCAAGCGUUCUCAAUGAACCAAACUGAGAAAUUUGCUCUGGGACUGUACCCCAAAUGAGAUUGUUACUGAGAUUCAAAGUCUCCAAAGAACUGCACUGGGAGAGAUGGAGAGGAAUGGGUUGGUUGAAGAGAUUGUCAGCAAGGUUAAGGUAAGAGAGAUUGUGGAGUCCACACAGAGAAGCAGAGAUUUCCCCAGAGAGGUUCAGGCUCUGAAGGUUGAGAGAGGUGACAGAGAGAGGUGGUGUGGUGGUGCAGGUGACUCCAGUCCAGUUACAGUGGUGAGUCUCAGAAGUGUUGGACCAUGUGGAGAGAUACUUCAUGGGGUCUUCAAUGGAGGCCUUAAAUGUGAGAAGGAUCUCUGCUUCAGAUGAAGCAGAGGCCACGAUGAAGAAUGCGAAGGUCAAAGAGAAGAACAGAGGAUAUGUGCAGAAGCUAGCCAUUGGAUUUGGAAGAGACCGAGUCACUCUGAGAGAGAGAGAGUGAGAGAGAGAGAGAGGGGAGCUGGCUGGUUAUGUUGCCUCAGUCUUUUGUAUAUAUUAGUGAAGUGGGAGACUGUGACUCGCUCGGAAAGAAGAGGAGAUGUUGAUUGGUUCUAGGGCAUCUAUACAAAAUUGAUGCAGAGUCAUCAACAUCAUAAUUAGGAGAUCUUUUUUAAUAAAAGAUAGAAUUUAAGAUGGAUUGUCUUUUAGGCAAAGAAAAUUUCCUAAAUUCCAUGAUGAGAAAAUAGUGGGAAUUCCCAAAAACUCCAUAACAGUAACUUUGGAAAUCCCUAACCCAUAAUUUAGACUUGCAUUCUAAUCAAAUAUCAUCCAGGGUAUGGGAAAUAAUUACUUGUGACCUACACAUUUGUUGAUAUCCCCACAAACAAACAAACAAACAAAACACAAUCAACAACUGAUUUGAAAUGUUAUACAAAUCAAAAUGGACUAACCCAAUUUCCCUAUACCCUCAUAUUUGAUGUCAUCAUGAUUCAUGGUGGAGUUGAAGAAUUAUGGUAUUGGGUCAAGGCCACAACUUUUACCUAAAGCAAUUAAGCCAAAAAAAUGAGAAAGAAAACAGGGAAGGGAAGAGGGAAUGCACAACCCGUGAGCAUAUGUAGAGACAGAAAAGGGGGGAGAGAGAGAAAGAGGAGAAUGAAGACAAAAGUGGAUUGAAGUCUACUCCUCAUGUGGCAACGUGGGAUCUGUUUUCAACGCCCCUUCUUCUCUAACUUGUACAGAAGCUGGGUGUGUGGGGAGGAGGAUACUGUAAUAUUUACUAAUGUUGUUAGUGUUGGCUGUAGUGUAAAAUAUGGCUGCCUGAAAAUGCAGAGGAAAUGAAGGAUGGGGUGAGUGGUCACUUUCAAAGUUGAAUAGAGUUGUUUUCUACUCCCAAAAUCCUAGAAAGAUAACCCGCUUUCAACGCUGAGACGCCCCUACCAACCACGUAAAUCAAAAAGCCCAAAGGGGUCCUCUCUCCCCCCUUCUCUCAUCUCUCAUCAAUGCCUGCUAUGUUUAUUCAAUGAAUCCAAUGCUGUAAUUAUAGUGGCCCCCCCUACUUUUAAUCUUAUUCUUCUAUACUUGUUUUUCAUUUUUUGUUUUAUUCUCGUCUUUUUCAUUUUUCCUUUUUCUUUUGUUACUGCCAUGUUCUGAAUAUAAAAUUUGAAAUUAAAUUUUUUUAAAUAAUAUAAAGGGUAUAAAAAUUUAUUGGAUUUAUAUAUAUAUAUAUAUAUAUAUAUAUUAUAUUAUAUAUAUAUAAAAGAGAAUUAUUAAAAAUUAAUUAAUUAAAAGAAAUGAAAUAACUCCCAAAUUUAUGAAUUUUAACAUUUUUCAUAUUUUUAUUUAAAAAAUAAUUUAUUUUAGACAUUAAUAUUUUUUAUUAUUUUAAAUAUUUUAAAAAUGUUUAUUUUUAUAAUAAGAAAUAAUGAUAUUUUUAUCAAAAUGAAAUCAAAAAAAUGAUGAAAAGUUAAAUUUCAAAAUUUGGGUUUUGAACUAAACUUUUAACAAUAUAACUUAUUAUUAAAUAUAUUCAUUUGAGCUCUUUGCACAUACAUAUUUUUCUUGUUCUUUUUUUAAAACAAAAAAUGAAUUUGAAGAAAAAGGAAGAAAAAAAGAAAAUAAAAAUAAAAUUGAAGAAUGUGUUUAGGGUUUGAAUUAGUAAGGUUGAAAAAGAUAAGGAAAGUUUGGAUGAAGGAUUUUAAUAAUUCUUUAUAAAAGAAAUGAAUAAUUAAUAUUAAAACCAAUUUAAAAGAGACUUUUUAGGAAGAUUAGAAACAUUUCUCCAAACUUAAAAUAUUUUUCUUGUCAAAAUCUAAUAAAAUUUUAAAGAUAUAAAAUACUAUUUAAAUGAUUAUUAAAGUAAUAAUUGAUGAAUGUUGCUCUUAAAAUAAUUUUUUGUUAAUUGAUAUAUUAUUAAAAAUACUAAAAAAAAUGAUUUAUAUUCAAAAAAUAAUUAAUUAUUUAAAAAAAUAUUUACAACAAAAAGAAAUUCAUUUUUUUCUCUCUAAAUUACAAAUUUUCUUCUUUUUGGUCGAAAUGGGAUCCAAAACUGAACAAGAAAAUCAAACAAAAAAAAAGUGAACAGAGAAAAAGGUAAUAAAAAAUUAAUCAUUAAAUACUUGAAAAUUUAGGAAGCAAAAGUGAUUGUGAAAUAGGCUGUCGUCCACUGAGACAAAAUGGGAUGAGUAGUGAGUACAUUAUUCGUACAACAGUGAAAAAGUGUAGGUGAAAAUGUCAAGCUGAAGCCUGAAGCUUUCUCCAUAUGCUGACUUUUUUUUUUUCACCCCUGUUUUGACUUUUAACCGUAGAAAUAUUAAGAGUCCAGGACAGCUAUUAUUGCAGCCUUCGGCCAAAGAAAAAUAAAGAAAAUUUUAUGUCACUUCAUCUCUUAAAUGUUGUUCAGAACUCAAAUAAUUAAACAAAAUUCCAUCCCACACCCACAUGGCCCAAAAGCACAUCUAGCUUGUGCUUUUUUCAAAAAGAAAAAAAAAAAAGGCAAAAAUGAAAAAACUUUGUUUGUUGUGUUGCCUGCAUGCCAUGUUAUCCCAUUAUUCUCCACUGAAAUGGUCAACAUGUCAUUUACCCAUCAAAUAAUGAUCAAAUGUAACUGUUAGUGGUCACUUGUUGAGAAUCCAAUAGUCCCAAGAAGUGGAAUUUUAUAUGAUGGGAGUUUGUUUGGAUGGUCACUCAAGAAGAGUCAACCCUUUUCACGGAUUGAUCUUGCAGUUUGAACACAUCGAGCUGUGUUUGUAUGCCUUGGAAUGAUCAAACCCAUAUGCAAAAACCGUUUUAUAAUGUGGGUUUUUUUUUUUUUUUUUUUUGAGAAUGUGACCUAAUUGGAAGAUGUGUUCAACCCUUAAAAAUCGUCUAAAACUUUGGUGUGUAAUGGGAGUAUGGGUAUUUGAGUUGGUUGAAAUUUGGCUCAUUUGAUUUUUGUUACUUUCCAAAGGUUUCCUAAGCAUGUUCUUGGGGUUAAAACUUUAUAAAAGAGUCAACACCCCAAAUCAAGUAUUGAGAGAAAAAAAUAAAUAAACUUUAAAAUAAUGAAAGCAUCCAAGGAACCAUACAAGGAGGGAGUGUUGAGAGUUGAGAGAGAAGAAGAGAAAGAAAGGAGGCAUGGGUGUUUGUGCUAUUGUGUGUUUUGUGAGAUAUAUAUAUAUAUAUUCCCUAGAUGACAAGUCCCAACAAUGGGGAUUAUAAGAGAGGGCUUUUUGUCUUUGGAGAGCGAACCAGACAUGAGAGUGGUGGGGCUGGAUGGAAAGUGGGUGUAAUCAAAUUUCACUUAUGGCAAUGAGGAAAGCUAUAACAACAAUAAUACGCAGCAACACUAUCAAACCCACCAACACCAGUCACCACCACCCCAUGCGGCCAUGCCCCUUUCAGAGGGGACUCUUGACUCUCAGAGAGAGUGGGGUCGGUUUCUAUUCUCUUAAUUUUGCAAUCCAUGUUCCCAAUAAUCCCUUAAAGGGUCUUUUCAUUUUUUUGGGUGUGGGGCGCCAUAGCCCACCAUUUUUAUAGGGUUCUUUGGGUUUCAUGAGGUUGGCCCUUUCCCGAUUAGGCUUUACAAGAAAAGGAUGUAUAGAGUGAGGUUUCAAUUCAUAGUCUAUGCGAGGUAGGGACAACGAGUUGUGUUUUGGUUUGGACAAGUCACUCCAUCUCAUUUAUUUAAAUUUGUUCGUAUUCUUAUAAGAAAAAAAUAAAUUUAUACAUAUCUGCCCGUUUAUUUUUUUAACCUAUGUCCUUUGAAAAUACUCAUUUUGACUUCAUCUUCCACUAACCAUUCGAAACAAGUUAUUAACAAUUUCAGAAAAAUUCUGUGGGCUUUGAUAGGCAAACUGACCUAUGGGCCUGAUGCUGGACUGGCUUAUUGUUAGGGAAGGUGGAGCUUGGGCUUGUUUUUUACCCUAAAAUCUAAUAUGAUUGAUCUACGAGCUAGUUUUCUAAUUUAAAAAUUCACAGGCAAAUUUUUUAAUUACAGUAGAUUUUUAAGUAGAUCCAAAAUGUUUAAAUAAUACUUUAUAAGAAAUUGCCUUAAUAUUUGUUUUUUUAUGUCACAUUGUUAUAACUCGUUUAAAAUUACAUUAUUAUGACCAUAUUAUAUCAAAUUAUGUCAUUAUGACCUAAUAAUAUGAAUGACUAUUCCCAUAACCUAUCUCAACUAUAUACUAAGUUGGCCAAUCAUGAAAAAUGUUAAGAAUGACCAUUCCUAUAUGUGAAUUAACAAAUUCCAGAACUACAAUAAAGCAUUGGGAGAAACCAUAAAAGAAUUAAAAAGAAAAAGAAAAUACCACAUUGAAAAUGGGAAUUUUGGAAAGCUGCUCAGCCGAGGUGGUAGAGAAGUUUGAGAUGGUGAGAUGGACAUGAGUGGAAUUUGGAAACGAAAAGUCCCUCUUUAAACGUGAGGCGGAUGCCCUUUUUCUCUGCCGUCAUCCCACUCAAUAACACUCAUCCAUCGCCGACUCAUCAGUAUUAUGUGGCACUUGCAUGGUUGCCCACGAUUUUCCACCACCAAACUUGUCCAAAAUCCCCCCCUUCAUCGUCAUCAUCUCUGUUCUUACUGUGCCUGAUUGAGAUUACCACUUCCAACCUUUUCCAGUUUCCUUUGGUUUUCAUUCAGUUGUCUCGGCGACCAAACAGGAGGCAGGCUUUCACUUCAAUGCUCAAUGCUGAGAACACGGCUUUUAACAUCUUUUCAUCUCCAACUUGUAGGAAAAGCCAAAAACAAAAUUUUUAAACUCACAAGCUAAAAAUAUAUUGAAAUCACUAUGACUAUGAGAACAUUUCAAUAAGCUAUUAAUAUAUAUACACCCUCAUGCAUUUCUCACUGAAAUUAAAACUGCGGGGGGAGGUUUUUCAUCAACAGCCAUCCCUUCCAAUCUAGAACCGCUUCCAGAAGUCCAACUACGUGGAAUAAACCCAACUUUGUUUUGAACAGAAUCAAAAGAUUCAAACAAUCAGGAAGAAAAGGCAUAUUUUGGCUUCCAAUCUAAGCAUCAUUGCAAUAAUCAUUUAGAUGAUGUUUGUUUUUUUGACUUUUUGCUGAAAAUCAUUUAGUUUUAAAAUUUAGGUUGUUUGUUUUUUUAUUUUUUCAUGACUUAUUAUAAACUUUUUACUAAAUAGAAAAAGCCAAAAUAUGUGACUUUUUCUAAAUAAAAAAAAUAACACAAUGGUUUUUUUUACUUUUUAAUACUUAAUAGAAAUAAAAUACUACAAAAACAAACAACCUAAUAUUUAAUACUAUUAAGUAUUAAGGUUCUAUUUAAAAUUAAGUAAAAAAACAAACACCACCUUAGUAAGUGAACACCACCUUAGUAAGUGAGAGAGAGAGAGAGGGACAGAGAUGCUGCUUCCAAUUUGAAUGGUUCAACUAGGAAUCAAACAUUUUCACAAUAAAAAAUUUCAGUAUGAAUUUUGAUUUUGAUACUCUUUUUUUUUAAAUACAUUUAUUACCCGGGCGUCUGUGAAAUCCAGUCAAUCCAUGGCAACAUUGAUCAGGCCCUUCAGCACAUUAAGAAGGGGCAUUUCUUUAUCUUAGGAAAGAAAUGAUUCAGUAUUCACGUACCGGAACCCUGCUAGCAAAUAUACAAAGGUACUCAAGGAACAUUCCAAACUGCUUCAGGAAUAUACAUUUUUACCACAGGCAGAGAGAUCUUAUGGAAAACCAGUCAGUCAAGCACAUAUUUCAUAACACAAGUCACAAGCACAUAAAAUGCCUGCUCAGUAUAUUUUCCAACAUAAGAGAGGAAGUUGAGAAAACACAUUUGCUGUUCAAGGAAUAUUUUCGAGUAAUCACUGUGGGCCACAAGUACAUGGCUCUGGAUCCAUAUUUCAAACGCAGGUAACAAUGAAAGAUGUUGUGCCACCACCAUCACCAUACAAAUAAACCAAUAACCAUAAAGCAACAAUAUGUAUCACUCACACAACCUCACAAAAGCUUCAUUCACCAACAAUUAAUACCACACCAUAUUCAGUGGGGGCGAUGCCAUGGGAGGAAUCACACAGCUUUACAUCAGAGGGAAAAAAACAGUAGGAACUAUGGAUCAGUAUUAACAGCAAUUAAAUAUGAAGCCAUAAUCAUCAAAGAGAAGCUGCAACAAUUUACCUAAUUGGCUAAUUAACAGAUUUAGUUGAAAGCAUUUCAAACCUCCCACUUGAGUCCAUUACAUAAUUUUUUGAUUCUUAAAUCAUUAAGACACUUGGCAAACCUCUUGACCCAAAUGUUUGCAUCAGCCACCUAUUAACAUGUCACCCUUCAAAGUAUGAUUAAUAUUUAAGACAAAUAAAACACAAACUGAGAACACAAAUUGAUAUCCACAAAGUUACACUUAAAACAGGCAGAAACAAGCAGUCAUUUCCCCAUGUUUCUAUAAAUCAAAUAAUAUCUCUUGUGCACCUUCAAACUUAAACAGGCCUAAUUGAAAGAAGACAAUUUUGUUAGACCAUAAGUGCAUUUUGCCACUUACCACCCUAUUUCUAUAAUUCUCUUUCCUUGCUAAGGGUUCAUUUGGUUCUUGGAAAGGAGGGGGGAGCGCUUAAAAAUGGAUUUAAAUCUUAAAACAUUCUCUCAUUUUCAUUCUUUCUGAGAAAUAAACAAACCUAAUAGACCGAGAAGAGGGAUUUAAUGAAUUUUCCUCUUCUUCAUCCUCAAGCAGUAGUGUGUUAGAAAAUGUGAUACAUUUCAUAGCAUCAUCAAGCAGCAGUGUGUUAGAAAAUGUGAUACAUUUCAUAGCAUCAUCACCCAUUUAAUUGACGUGAAAGGCUUCCAUGAUACUCCACUUCUUUGUUCCCUACUCAUUUAAUCAGUAGUGUCCUCCUCAAUCUCAACCUUCACCAUGGGCGAGGACUCCAAGCCAAAAGAGACAAUUUCAUAGCAAUUUAAACACAGCACAAAGAACUUGGCUCUUGUAUCUGAUAUUUUUUUUCUUAGGUAAUUCUUUUUCUUUUUCCAUUUUUCUUGUCCCCAUUGGGACUUCAACUUGGAACCUCCCAUAAAACUUCCCCAACCCUUUACCACUUGAGCCAAGCCUGAAGGGCUCUUGUAUCUGAAAAUUUUAACAAACUAAUUAAUCACCAUUUUUCUACACAAGAUUAAAAUAGAGAAUCUCGAUACAAAAGAGCUUACAAGACUACUAAACUAGUGCAUUUGAUAUGAUAACAAAGCAUCAAGUAAGUGACAUUCAAUCACCCUAAAAAAGAGCAGUGUGUGAAACCUAGGAUCAGAGAACCCACAUGAAUGAUAAAACCAGAAUCUACCAAUAUAGUCCUUAAUUUUAUCUAUUAAAAAUUUCCAAUUAUACUUUACAAAUGAUCAAAAUAAAGCUAAAAUGCACAUUCUCUACCAAAAACCAAAGUCCCUUACUCCAAAUAAUAGAACCCUAGCAGGUGGAGACAGUGGACAAGGGAAGAUGCUACAACAGUCACAGGAACUUGUAGCUUUAUAAAAGUUCUUCACCCUGAAGAGAGCCUUGUAAAAAUAAUUUUGUAUCACCCAAAGCCCAAUUAAUAGUAAGAGUGCACAUUUUCCCACAUGCACCUAAGGAGGUCCUGAUCCACCCAAUACUCCCAAAACCAAAAUACAGAAAGAACUUUUGAAUGACCUAAACAGUUGAAAACAAAAAUUUUAUAAAUAUACUUCUUGAAUACUAAAAACUUGGAACAUCUGCAGAUCCUAAAAUAUCCAAUGCUUAUACAACAUCAACCAACCUGCUAUAAUUUCUGAGCAUCUGCUGAAAUAACCCACCACUCCUUGAAGAAACCUCAACCAACCAUCUUAUUUGCAUAGACCAGAUAACAGAAACCUAGAAUAAAACUAGAAAAGCCCAGUGGUGGAUGACACUUUGACUGCACAGUGGAUGUAAAAAAAAAAAAUUAACUUUGGACCAGAAUUAUUAUAUGGGACAAACAUAACAUAAAAAAUACUUGCUAAAAGGGAACAAAUAACUGGCACAUCACAUCAUCUCAAAUUCAGGUCUCUCCCCCCAUGGUUCCUAUGGAUUGCCCAGUCACGCUUUGAUUACCGUCUGAUUAGUAUAGUGCCUAUCCAUAACAGAAAAACCUUCUUAGAAUUGCAUCAGUGGAGUACCUCCAAUAAGUCUAUUAGAAGUAUCAGUGGGCAAAGAUAACAAGAUGCAUCUAUACUAGUAAAAGAUGAAUAAAUAUUCAUAAAUAAAGCCUAAAAAGGAAACAUAAAAGUGUAAUAGAGCCAAUAGAAGCAUAUACCAAAUCUACAGUCCUAGUCUGAACUGUGAUAAAGACAUCCAAAAUCCAGUAAUCCUCCAGAUGAAUACAAUAACAGGAACAAAAGAUUGAAGUAAAAACAUGUCGAUUUACAACCAGGAAAAAGAAAGAUUCACCAUUCGUAUCUUGAUGACAUGGUUCCAAAUCUAUGUUGAACACAUCAGUGAAGUAUGAAGUUAAAAAUGGACCACCACCAAGAGAAAAAAAUAAAGAAAAAAAUAUUAACACACAUAUAUGUAUUUCAUACUAAUAAAUGGGGCAAAUACCAUUUAGCAUGUACUACCAGAGAGAAUGCGUAACAAUCAGUUGAGCAAAAUACAAUGUAACCACAAAGAUGUUCAUCAAACCAGCACAAAUAAAGACUUACACACAGGAGCCAACAUACCAAUCCUCGCCAAUCAACAAGGAAUAUAGAGUUCUUUAGACUGCAAAGAUGCCCUCACUCUCACAACCUGAACCAUUUGUAUCAAUAAAGGACACCUAACAAGACAAGCAGCCAACUUAGACAAAGACACAUGGAUGACAAGAGAAGCAUUUUACUUCAGACAUAAACCAUGGUACUUAGAUUUUAUCGAGCUUUUCAGCUUUGACAACAGGGUUGGCUUUAGCAAUAGCAUCCCGUGCAGCAGUCCGGUAAUCAAAGGGGCAGUCAUGUUUGUCAGAGUAGCGAUGAACUGCACAAAAGAGGUUACCACAUUUGCAAUUGAAACCCGUUAAACCUACACGCUUUCGACAUGCGGUGCACCGAUUUGGUCCCUCCUUGACCUUGGACUCAAUGAUCUGGUUUGAGGAUGAGUCAUUGGAAGCUUCAGCAGAAAUGGCCUUCACCUCCACUGGUCCAGCUUGCACAUCCACGGUACCAGCAACAAUGGGCUCCUUUCCAUUGCCGCUAGAGCUUCCAUUCACAAUGCUUCCAAUGGAUGAUGCUGCAAGUUUGGCUUGUUCUUGCUUCAGGGCCAAGUCCUUGUGGCACUUGGAACACAUAUUCAUGGUGGCAGCACUCCCAAAGAAGCCACAGUUAUUAAUGCAAAGAAUUGGGCCUUCUGGAGCUUGGCAUCCUGUCUCAUCAUGAGACUCCAUCUUUUAACCCUCCUGCACAUCAUGAUCCCAACAUAUCCAGAUAUAAAAUGUGAGCCAAACCCAAAUACAACUAUGUAUGAACAAACAUGCAUGCAUUUCUUGCAUAAGAGCAUACAUAUUACAACUCACACCAGAUGUUAAAACUAAGACAAGAAGACAUGAAGCUGUCAAGAAUGAGCACUUGAGUAUAAAAGCAGACAAAACAUGGAUAAAGUGAUAUAAUUUUAUAAUCAUUCCCAAAUAAGUAAUGUUCACAAUUCUGAGUGGUAAUUAUAUGUUCAUCAUUUCUCCUUUCAAUUCAAGCAAAAUGAGAUCAUUUCAUGCUAGUUUCAAUACUAUGCUAAGAAAUAAUAAUAAUAACAGCAAUAACACAUGGAACAUAUUGUUUAUAGUCCAGACCCUCAACUCUAGUCUGCCAACAAAAAAAAAAUCCAAACCUUUCAUUUAAUGUAUAUAAAAAUAAAAAAGCAGGUUAGUAAUCCUGAUCUAUAACAAGAAGAAAAGGGUCCAUGGCCUCGGUCACAUCCAAUAAGAACCAAACAUGAACAAGAAGCUCGUCAUCUCAAAUAGAAAACAACAAAUCAACACAUAAAACGUAAAGAAUCCCCUUUAAGCAACAAUCUUAAUCAAAAUGGGUAAUAUUCCGAAUGUGUUGAUAAAACAUUUGGCCACAAUAUUACAAGCCAUAUCAUCGAAAAUUAACAAAGCCCAUUGACAUGAUAAAAAAUUCAGCUUCUAAAAUAACAAGCAAAAGCACAUAUAUAUAACAAGGAAAUCAUCACAAUAUUAACCAGUACAGCGGAUAUUCCAGAUGGGUUGAUUAAAAACCCUAAAUUCCCCAACCCAGCGAUGAAUUUGGCCCAAGCUGUACAAGUCAUAUCGUAUUAAAUUCAAAACAUGUAUAUCUAAUAUAUUGAACACACAUCUUCUAAUAACAUUCAAAACAUGUAUAGCUAAAUACAUCUUCCCAAACGUAUAUAAAUCGAAUUUUAAAUAUAUUUCAUACUGAUAUAUUUAAAAUUCGCAGAAGAUAGAAAAGAGGCAGGAGUAAAAACCCUAUGAGAGAGACAUAGAGAAACCCUCACCUGAUUGGUUAGGUUUGGCCGAUCUCGACUCACAAAAUCGAACCAGAAGAUGAUUCCUGGCUCAAUUUUAAAACCCUAAUUCAAUUAUUUAAAUUUAAAAGGACAAAAAAAACCGGAAUCAAAGUCAAAUCGACAUGAAGAAAUUUGAAACUGAUUUGAUGAGAUAGCAAAAGCUUAACCUAAUUGAGGAGAUAAUCGUAUAUAAAUCGGAGAAAUAGAGACCAGCAGGAGAGAGGAGGAAGGGGUAGAGAGAGAGAGGGGUUGGGUUGGGUUCGGAAAAUGUGUCCCUGGUUCUAUUUAAGACUUUACCUUUUCUUUCUGCCAACGAUCCCUUUGAACUGAGUCGGUGCUUUCUCAUUUCCUAACCUUCAUUCUCCCUUUAUUUACUCAAUUGCCCUUCCCUUGUAUUUUUUAAAUAUUGUAGAAAAAUAUUAAUAAAUAUAUAAUAAAACUUUUUGAAAAUUUGGAGGGAAAAUGUUAUAAAAAAAAAAUUAAAAAUAGAGUUAGGGAAAAAUGAGUUUCAAAUCAUUAAUUUUAACAAAUAUAAAAAAACAACUUCGACUUCUUCACUCAUUUAAAAAUAUUUUAAAAUAUUUACUCUUUUUUAUAAUCGAAUAAUUAUUUUCCAAAAAUUAUCAUUUUCCUUUAUAAUGUUAAUAACAUCGAUAGACAAAAAAACUGAAAUUAGAUUUAAUAAAAUAAAAAAAUUUAAAUAUUUAAAAAUAUAAUUAAAACUAAAAAAUAUAUAUAUAUUAACUUUCAUUUAAUUAAAAUACUCUCCCAGAUAUUAUAGAUGUCGAAAAAGAAGUAUAAAUAUAAUGGGAGUAAGUAUUUUAUUUUUUAAAAUUUUAAUUAUAUAUAUAUAUAUAUAUAUUUUAGUUUUAAUUGAAUUUUUUAUUUUUAACAUUUCUUAUUUUAUUAUUGAUAUUAAUUAACAAAAUUUUUAUUCAAUUUUAUUACAAAAAAUAUGAGAAAAUGAAGGGAUUUAUAUAAUAUAAUAUAUAAAAUCACUAUUAAUUAGGGGAUAAGAAAUAUCUUAUUUAUUACAUGAGGUCUUAGAAAAAUUUUGAUAAAUUAAAUUUGAAUAAUUUUAUUUAAUAUUAUUAAAUGGUAUUUAAGAAAAUAAUUAUUUAACUUAUAAAAAAUACAUAUAUUUUUAAAUAGAUGAAGAUUUUUUUUAUAUAUUUUAAAAAUUGUGAGUUAAAACUCACUUUUGUUAUACUUUUUCUAUUAUUUUUUAUAUAAAGAAUUAAAAUUUAUUUUCAAUUAUAUUUAAUUUUUUCACAAUAUAAAAAUGAGUAUAAUAUUUUUUUUUUUUUUAAAUCAAAUAUAGCUAAUUUUGAAACCUGCAUUUUAUUAGGCAAAAUUAUAUCUUAAUAUAAUUCAUAAUAAAAAAUAAUACAAUUUUAUGUGAAUAUAAAAUAUUUAUUUAUAGUGAUUAUUUAGGAAAAGGGCAAAUCGGGAAAAACCCAUAUAAAAUAAGCAGUUUUCUCCUGAAAAGGACAAAAUUGGGUAUAAUGUCUGUGGCAUUAUUAUUGAGGGAGAAGGAGUAAUGAUUUCACUUUUUUAAAAAUAAAAUUAUUUAACUAAUUAUUUUUAUAAAUAAAUUAUUUAUGGAAACAAAUUAUUUUUCAUAGUUUUAUAAAUAAAUGAAAAUUAUUUGUCAAAAUAAUUAUUUUUAAAUUAAAUAUAUUUCAUAAAUUUUCAAAAAUUUUAAAUAGUUUUCAUUUUUUUUUUUUUUUGGUGUGUGUAUAACAGAAGCGACAUUUCCAAUCGAAAUAUCUAUAAAUGGCAAUAUCUAAAUGGAUGAGAUAUUUGAUUAUUUUUCUUCGUAAGGUGAUAAUUUUUAAAAAAAUAUGAACAAUGGCAAGAUCAGAGCCGCUCAUCUUAACAUUUAGGGCCCACCUACAUGGACGGGCCAGAUGGAUCAAGAUCCACUAGUCGGCGGGAAAAGGGAAAGUGAAGGUAGAAAUGGCGGGAACUCAACAAAACCCUAUAAAUUGAACCCAGGUUCAUUCCAUCUUCGAACCUUCGGUCUUUCCUUAGAAAAGAGAGGAAAACCAAAAUGGGGAAGAAAAAGAAAACUAGAGUUUCUGAUAACAUCGCCGAAGAAAAAGAGUAUGUUGGUCAGUCUUCCAAAGAAGAAGAGUAUGUUAGUCAGUCUUCCACAAACGAGAGGAGCCUGUACGAGGUAUGUGAAAAUGUUUCCGAUCCCCAUUUUCAUGGUAGGAGAUUUCAUUACUUGUUGACUGGUGUUUGGGAUUUUUUUUUAAAUUUUUUUUAGGGUUUUGGAUGAUCGUCUUUCUUGAUCUGGACUUUUUUUUUUAAGAUUAUUUUAUUUUUUGUAACUGGUAAUAUCAAAAUGUAUGGUUGAAAUUUGUUAAUGAAUGAACAGAUGCAUAAGACAACUUUCCUGGGUUAGGUGCGACAGUUAGUGGUUUGAUUGCAAAAGGGGUCGAUCCAAGUGAGUAUGAGUAGCGUACACAGCUCAUAAAAGAAAGAGAAAACAUUUUAGUGAGGGCAAAUUUAAUUCGGAAAAUCCACAAUCAUAAAUUCAUUAAAUAAAAUCACGGGAUCCUAAUGACCAAAAGAAACAAGGGUUUCAGAAUGAAGUUUCUUAGGGUUUAGUGCCGUUUUGGCAGGAAGUUGUGGAACUUAUUUAAGGGAGUUUCAUUACCAACUCUUGGGAGCUGGUUUUUGAAGGUAUUCCUAUUUCGCCAAUUCUUUGUGACUGGAAAGGGGUUUUAUUUUUUAUUUUAUUUUAUUUUUAUAUUUUUUGUGUUGCAUGCGAUCCCUUCAUUUUGUAUGCUUUUUAACCCUUAAUCAAAUCCAACUCCAGCAAGGCUAUCGAUUUGUAGAAAAUCCUGGCCGGUUUGGAGUUAGGGUUUUGAAAUAGUGGAGUGGUUCAUUCAUCAAGCAAACACAAAGCAUAAAUAAUGCCUGCUUUUUUUGCAAAAUAGUAAAUGGCACACUACAGAAUUUGUUUUUAGAUGAAUAUUUUGGGGAAUUAGUCAUUUUCCAUCUAAAGGAUUAUAGGAGCUGCUUACCCUUCAAUUAUUCAAUAAUUGAAGGCCACUCAGAGUGGGAUUAACUAAGCCACAAGAAGUUGAUGUCUUGUGGUAACUAUUAUUCUGUGGAAGGCAAUUGCAGUGCUUUGAUUAUGGAUUAAGAAUUUUAGCAAAGUGGACAGCUGGUCUUUCCAAUACCUUGGUUGGACUCCUUUUCUGGAUUCCUGGGACAGAAUCUCUCCCAAUGUGGGCUGAUCUUGCUUGUAGGUUGCCAUAGGUGGUUAGAUGCUGCCUUCCAGUUUUGGUGUUGCUUUCAUUUGACCUUUGCAUGGCUAUGCGUAUUUGUUCCUAUCUUCUGAUGCAAAUUAUUCUCAUUGGAAUCAUGUCUCCGUUCCCUGCAAGGGGGGGAAAAUGCCUGCUGUGAAACAUGCCAUUUAUUGUGGUUGCUGAUUAGAUUCAAUGGUGUCGUUGUUUUGCAUGGUUCCAGACAUUUAUCUGGUGACACUGAUUUACCCUGGACUGAGAGCAAUAAAAUAUCCCAUGCUGUUGAUCCAAGUGGAGGGCAUUUUACAGAAAAUCUUCUCACAUGGUACUUGGACAGAGCACUUGAAUGUGUUCUCUUGCAGAGGAUAUUUCUUCUUGCAUUGCCUGUUUGUCUAUGCCUUUCCAUUCUUAAAUGAUAAAGGGUACAAGCUUCAAAAGGGUUGCUUUGGCCCUGUUUAGAAAGGAUUUUUAUUUUUUGGAAGGGGUGGGGAUGUGUGGGUGUUAUGAUGUAUGAUGAGAAAACAAGAGCUUCUAGAAGGUAAAUCCAGUUUCAACUCUUGAAAUUCUUUAGGCUUAAAUCCUGAUUCAUUUCAAGCUCUCUAGUUCUAUAUUUUGGAGUUAAAUUGGUAUAAUUAGCCUUUGAUUGGUAUUUUGAUAAUUCUAGUUUAAAUCCCUUGUAUCAAAUGCCAAAUUAUGAUCAGCAGAGUAGUUCCUGCAUGUCUACCCUUGUUUAGAUCAAUUUCAUAUAUGGCUUAACAUGUUUAAUCUCACUCUAGCAAAUAAUUAUUAUUUUUUUUAUAAGCAAAAAUGCAUAUAAAUUAAAACAUGCCAAAAGGAUGCACCACAGUACACAGGAUGUAUACAAAUAUUGCCUAAAAGCACAAGAAACAAGAGAGAACACAAAAAACAAUACCCUCUCUUAACAAGAAACUAACCAUUCUACAAAAUCUAUGUCUAUGUAUAUCUUUACCCAAUUAAACAAAUUACUAAAUAUUGAUCCAAAGGCUCUUUUCCUUCCAAACAGUUCAAAAAAUAGACAAAGGAGCUGCUCUCCAAACCUUAUUAUCCCUUUUACCUGCAAAGGAACUAGGCCAUCCCAGGAGAGCCUCCUUAACGAUAGCAACUUCCACCCAUUGGAUUCUGAAAAGAGCAAACAGCACCUGCCAAAGGACCCUGUCUUAGCACAUAGUAAUGAUCUUAUGACUGUUGUAAAUCUAUUGUGGUUUGAGGCUAAGUUGCUGAUUUUAAUUUCUCAUCUGCGAUUCCUUAUCUCAAGUUUCAUAUCCAAGCUCCAUGUUACUCCCUUUUUUAAUGUGGAAUCAGUAGGUUAGUGUUCUUGAUUUUACUGGGUCUUUAGAAGAUUGUUUUGGCUUGGUUUAGUUUUCAUGUUUGUCUUUUCUAAUAGCUGCUAUUCUUUGUUUGGUUCUACCAUCAAGAAUCCUUGGGAAGAUGAUGUUGAUGCAUGAAAGUUAACUACACUACAUUAAAAACAUAAUUAAAGGGAUUUUCUUGCUAUGAAUUAUCAGAAUAAAGCUGUCUUUGACUUCUAAUUAACAUGAUAAUGGUUGUUUGGUGCUUGGUCCUCAUUUAUUUGUCUUCCUUUAUUCGAUGUCCCCCUGUUUACUUUAAUAGACUUGAUUGCAAUGAGUUGCAUGUUCAAAUUUCAUUUCAUAUUUUGUAAAAGAUCUCCCUGUUCUCCCAUUCUCCCUCUUCUUGGUUUACUGAUGUACUUUUUUUUUAUUACAAUAAAAUUUCAAGUGGAGCAAGAGAUGCUGAAUAAUAACCUUGUGUCUUACAGGUUCUUGGUGUGGAAAAGACGGCAUCUCAGCAGGAAAUUAAGAAAGCUUACUAUAAGUUGGCAUUGCGGCUCCAUCCUGAUAAAAAUCCUGGUGAUGAGGUGCAUUUGAUUUCUAAUGAUGCCAAAAUCCUAUUCUCCAUAUAUCCGUUGCAAGGGUGGUUUUCUGGUUGUUACCCUUUGUUUUUUUCCCUCAUGUAGGAAGCCAAGGAAAAAUUUCAGCAACUACAAAAGGUGAUAUCAAUUCUUGGUGAUGAAGAGAAAAGGGCACUCUAUGAUCAGACUGGUUGUGUUGAUGAUGCUGUAAGUGAAUAUGAAAACCUUUUGUUUUGUAUGUUCUUUUUUAAUGGCAUUUGAGGGCACAAAUGUGUCCAUAAGAAUUGAUGAUAUCUAUUGAUCAGGAAGUGUGCAUCUUAUUUCUCAAUUUUUUUAUGAUCAGGACCUUGCUGGUGAAGUUGUUCAGAAUUUGCAUGAGUUUUUCAGAACCAUGUACAAAAAGGUCAUAUCAUUUUGCCUUAUUAUGGAAAAUUUCUGAUUUCACGUAAUCCUCCUAUUUAUUUUCAGACUGGAAAGAUGACAUGUGAACACUUGCAUUGGUAGCAGGUUACUGAGGCAGAUAUUGAAGAGUUUGAAGCAAACUACAGAGGAUCUGAUUCAGAGAAGAAUGAUUUGAUUGACCUGUACAAAAAGUGCAAGGGUAAUAUGAACAGGUACAAUAGCAAAUGUGUUUCCCUUCUUUUUUUUUUUUUAGGCUUGCCGGAUCAGCCUCUAAUCUGCUUUCCUUCUCAGGCUUUUCUGUUCAAUGCUUUGUUCUGACCCUAAGCUGGAUUCACACCGAUUCAAGGAUAUUCUUGAUGAGGCAAUAUCAGCAGGUAAGGGUUCUACUAGCUUUCUUUUUGUUUUUUUCCCUUCCUGAGAUAAGUUGUCUGAUAUUUAGCCAUUCUAUUUUCUUGGAAUUAGUGAAAACCCCUAAUGUGAGGCCUCAGAACUAGCUAUAAACUAAUAAGUAGAAAAUAAGCAUAUGAUAAAAAUCAGAAAAUAAAGAUCUGAUGACCCAUUGGCCCCACCCUAUAGGUCCACAUAGAAAAAUAACAUGGUGAAAUCAUUGUUAUUAUCUUCUUUGUUGGGGACCCAUUUAAGUUGUUGGCCUGUACUACUUGACUGUUGUUUUGUUUAAGAAACCAUAUUUAUAGCCAUGCUUCACAUGUACAUUGCUGACCAUGCACAGCAUAUUCUGCCACAAUUACACUUAAUCAUUCUCUUUUUCACAUAGGAGAGCUGAAGGCAACCAAAGUCUACCAGAAAUGGGCAAAACAAGUGUCUGAAGCAAAACCACCUACUAGUCCUUUAAGGAAGAGAGGAAAGUGAGUCAUCUCAACUUCAGAGUUGUGUUUUCAUGCUUACAGUAGUUUUAACUUUUAUGACCCCUGGAUGAAUAAUAUGCCUUUGACAGAUCAAAUAAAGAGUCAGAAUCAGAUCUAUUAGCAAUUAUAUCUCAGCGCAGAAGUGAAAGGAAAGACCGUUUUGAUUCAAUGUUCUCAUCUCUGGUGUCUAAAUAUGGUGGGAGUGGACAAGUUUCAGAACCCACUGAAGAAGAAUUUGAGGCCACACAAAGAAAGUUAGAGAGCCUCAAGGCAUCCAAAAAGUCCAAGCGGAAGUAACUGAACAACUCAAUAGAAUUUCUGUGUACAAAUUUUGUUUGCCUGUGAGCAUUUUGUGGUUUCCUUAUUCUUGGUACUUAUAUAUAGCUUUCGGAUUGUAUGAUUAUUGUAAACUGUCUUUUCUUAAGGAUUUUGGAUGAUUUCUCCUUUGAUUAGAUGGUCUGUAUGUCAGGUUACACGAAAAUAGAUUGAAUAACAAGACAAAACCAACAAAAAGUGAAGUAGAAUUGCAUUGCAUUGAAGAACCGUGGCAUUAAAAGGAGUGUAGGCCAUAUGAUAAUGUUAAAAUGAUAUUGUGGUAAGACAGGAAAAUAUAGAUUUAGAAAUGACCUGCAUUUGUGGAAGUUUGAAGUAGCACUAAUAUUGGACAGGGGAAAGUUGAUUAAGCUGGUUUAAUGAUACGCAUUAAGAACCAAUUAUUGCACCAAUUGAGGUGUGGUCCAUGGUGAUCUGCUUUUUAGGAGAUUGAUGAAACGGAGCUGUAAUUUGGGCGGCUGUCAUAUGAUUAUGUACAACCUCUAUAGAUGGCCCUCUUGCAACCAAAAUCAGGUGGCAUCAAAUAAAACUUAUCCAUUGGAAUGAGCUAUGAGCUAUGAGCUUGGGCAGAGAAGAAGUAAUGACUAAAGACCAUUUUUUUCGCAGAUUUGUUUGCAUUCUUUGCCCUCUAACCCAAAAUGAAGCUAGAAAGAAAGGCCGAAAAGUGAACAAAAUGCUUUACCCAAAACUCAUGCCUAACAAGGAAGAAAUUCUCAAAUUGAUCCAUUAGGUCUUCAGCAGUGUUACAAUUCUGUCCUCUACCCGCUUAGGACAUAAUGAAAACAACUUCACCUAUGGCAUGCUUAGAUGAAUGUUAUGUGAAGUGUAGGCGGAUGGACCAUUUGGUCUCCCUCCCUGUUUGUUUGCACUUUUUGAUGCAUCUGGGUCAAAUCACCAAGAAAAGCAUUAGGAUCCAAAACUUAUAUCAUCUUCCUUCGGCUUUGCUUGCUGCAUGUGUUCCAACAUCCAUGCCCUCUGCUUUAAUUUCUUUUCUAUUUCCUACCAAACAUGUUUACAAUAAGUAUGUCACAUUCUGAUAAUUUGGGGAAAGUAUAUAAUCUUUCAGCAUUCAGCUUGCCAAAUCAAGGCUAGUUCUUUUAAUACAGAAAGAUUUGCAUCAGACCCAUCUUUCACAACUAAAACAUGACCACUACUUACAAUAGUUACCUCUUACCUUAUUAUUACUUAGAGCAGAAGUAAAGAUUAGGAGUUCUUAUGAAUUGGGUAUCUAUUUCCUUAAUAAAAUGACUGUUGUACAGCAAGUUUGGAUGCUCAACUGGCAGUUUCCAUAUUGGGGCCCUAUGUACCUCAAAAAAGAUUCCUUUACAAUUGAAAAUGGAUAGCACAUACACCAAAAGUCUCAUUGACGAAGGGAGGUGGAUGAUGACAAGGAGUUGGUGGUCUAGCUUAAACCAUCAGGCAGUUCAACCACAGCAUAAUUUCAGCUAUUGCCCACCAUUUGGAUGAGCUGAUGAGGGUCAGGUAUGCUUUUCACCUUUCUACUCAGUUCCCUUUUUUCCAAUGCAUUAGGUUUAUAUGCUCAUUUAGUAAAGGUUUUGACAGUUGAUGGUGGGAAAAUUUGAGUCAACUCAAUUGAAUUUGUGGCAAAAAGUAAAUAAAAUUGCCCACAAUUUGCAUAUUCAGAAGCAUGAUUACACCCAAAGAUGGGAAAUCAUGAAGUGUUUCGGUGUGUGAAAAAGGUUUAAGGUACCCAUGAUUCCAUAAUGGGUGUGGCUGGCCAGCACAUCACAGCGCAAACCAAAUGACUUUGUGGGCAGAUCCUAGCAAUUGGGGUAAGUCUAAAAUUGGAUGAGAGCUUCAGUUGGAGGAUGGUGACAUCACAACUGCAUGCUGUGAAAGAAUUCCCCUGGUCUUCAUGAUCCUCCAUGAAUCUGCAAAUGCAAGCAAAGCUUUGCCUCUUCUCUAGUCUUCCAUGCCUGUCACUGAAAUAACUUUUUUGCCUUUACUCUCUCUCCCCCUCUCCCUCUCUGGGGUAGAUAAUCAACUUUUCAAUUAAGUAUCAUACUUGGUAAAUAAUCACCUUUUGAAUUAAGUAUUGCAUUUGAGCUUUGUUGCUUUUCUUGGGUUUUCCCUUCCAUCUGUCUCUGUCUCUCUCUCUAUCUAUCUCUAUUUUUGUUGGCCAGUAAUCGCCUUUUCAAUUAUUAUAUUAGUGCUAUGUCGCUUUUACUUGAGUUUGUCUUCCCACCUUUUUCUCAUUUAUGUUGUAAUUAAUAUCAUUUACUGUGGAAUUAAGCUUUACUCAAGUUCGUCUCUUCCUACCUAUAAGACCCCUCAAGGUUUCUGGAACUUCAUUAGUCUCAAGAGUCAUCCCUUGGAACCUUUUACGCCCGUAAUUGUUGCUCCAUGCACUCAAAUUUCCCUUUUCUGUUUAUUUUUGCUACAGAAUUGUCAUCCAAUUGUGAGAUUUCUGAAGUAGAUCCAAAUUGCAGACACUUAGGUUUACUGCUCGAGCUGGACUUUACCUCUCUGUGAUUCUUUUGCUUUUCUUGAAGGUCUUCAUGGAGACGGAGGAAAGUGAUACGAGGCUGAAAAUGGAAGAUUAUGAAGUUAUAGAGCAAAUUGGAAGAGGAGCAUUCGGUUCUGCCUUUCUUGUUCUCAACAAGACUGAGAAAAAGAAGUAAGAUGAUUAAUACCCUACCAUGUUUGUCUCGGUUUUGUUCUUUUCUCUACCUCGGUGGAUCUCAGAAUUAUGUGAAUUUUUAAUGAGAUUUGACUACCCAUCUUCUUUUUCUAUCCUUUCCUGUACAGUCCAUUCCUUAGAUGAUGAUUUUUCAAGGAACAAUGGAGGAAAAUCAAAAUUCUGUGUUCAAUCACAGAAAUUAUCUUCAAUAAAAACACAAUCGUUUUCUCAAAGCUGUAAAUUCAGAUUCCACUUUGUUUGAUUGUGUGUUUUUCUGUUUAAUAGAUAUGUUCUAAAGAAGAUUCGUGUGGCUAAGCAAACAGAGAAGUUCAAGCGUACAGCACACCAAGAGGUCACCUCGACUAAACCCUUUUAAUAUGUUUUCUAUAUCUUCCUUUUGAGCAUUGGAUUCAGCAUCUUUUCAUACCGUCUACCUGUAUUGCUUUAGGCAUUAUACAUGAAUUCAAUGCUUGUUUUCUGCUUACCUAACUCAAUCUUAGUCUCGAUCGAAUCAUCCCCAGUGCAUUAAUAGGAAACAGCUGCAAAUAUAAGAAUGCAAUACGUAGGAAAUCAUCACAAACUAUGAAAAAGGACCCAAGCAUGUAACUAAUCCUUGAUGGUGCCCUUUUCGCAGCAAACAAACUUCUUAUCACUUGCUACUUGAAUAUGUUCAUAAUUGAUUGAUAUUAGAUAUUCUCAUUUACAAUAAUUGUAGAUGGAGCUGAUUGCCAGACUAGAUAACCCAUAUAUAGUGGAAUACAAGGAUGCUUGGGUGGACAAGGUAAGUGCAUGAUGUCUUUGUGUUUAGUUGCUUUUGGAAUUUAAACAACAUAAAGCAUUUUGUAGCAUGGAAAAUUGUCGCUAUUUCAGCUAUUUUUAGUCCGAUACAAAUGGGUGUUUUGCUUUAUAUUUGGCAGGGAUGCUCUGUAUGCAUUGUGACUGGCUACUGUGAAGGAGGCGACAUGUAAGUAAUCACCAUCUCUUUGAGCUGUCAAUGGCACAAAUGGGAUAUAAUGGACCCACUUCUCAGAGAUAAAGCAGCACUUUCAAAUGAUUGACUAAGCCAAACCACCCACCCUACUUCAAUUCUUCCCACCUUCAACUCAAUAUAUCAGGAUAAACAUGUCUGACAACUAAAAUAUGCCUUAAAUAGUCUGUUAGAAUGAAAAACUAAUGUUUUUGGAUGAAUAGGGCUGGGGCCAUAAAGAAGGCCAGAGGAGCAUUGUUUCCAGAGGAGGUAAACAGAAAGUUCCUUUCUGAAAUCAAAAUCCUAUAUAUGUACCUACAUGAUGCUCAUAUUCUACAUGGCUCUUUUUUUUGGCUCCUUAGAAGCUCUGCAAGUGGCUGACUCAGUUGUUGCUAGCAGUGGACUAUCUGCAUUCAAACCGUGUCCUUCAUAGAGAUCUUAAGGUACAAAUAUACACUAAUUCCUGAAUAAAAUUGAUUAAAACAGCACUGUCAGUGACAGAGUAACAAUAAUGUUGCUUAAUUUCAGUGUUCCAACAUAUUCCUCACAAAGGAGAGCGACAUCCGGCUUGGUAAGAAGACAAAAGUCUCGCUGAAAGAGAGGGAAUUUUUUCUGCAUCAAGUUUGGGUUCCCUUGUCUUGACGUCUUAUGAGAAAUAUUUAUCUUUAAUGGAAUAUACAGGUGAUUUUGGACUUGCAAAAUUGCUCAGCACGGAAGACCUUGCUUCCUCGGUAGGUACCUGUUUAUCCACCUAAAAUGUUGUUCUUAUGCUUCAUGUCAAUGUCUUGACAUGCAAACUCUACCAACUUGGAACUGUUCCAAACUCCAUAUGGAUCCAUCACUGCACCCAAACAUGGUAUUUUCCUAAUCUAGUUGUUCACUUCAACCUAUUUUCAACAUCAUCUGUAAUUUAUAUAGGUUGUGGGUACUCCCAACUACAUGUGUCCUGAGCUUCUAGCAGAUAUACCUUAUGGAUACAAAUCUGAUAUAUGGUCACUAGGUAAGAAACCCAAAAACAUAGUUCUCAUUUUUAUGCUGUUCCGUUGAUGAUUCUGUUAUGAAUAACAUGCUUCCACUACUUCAGGUUGCUGCAUGUUUGAAAUUGCUGCACAUCAACCAGCAUUCAGAGCCCCUGUAAGUUUAAGCAUGAGCCAUAUUUUAUGGCGUCAAAUCACUUGGCCACAGUUGGAGCAUAUGAAAUUUACUCACAGCAUGAACUUCAUGGUAACAUAAAAUCUAUUCAUAACUCUUUCUAUCAAUCAGGAUAUGGCUGGACUAAUCAACAAGAUAAACAGAUCCUCCAUUUCUCCUCUCCCAAUUGUAUAUUCCUCCACAUUGUAAGUAUUUUCUUCUCUGAAAAAGAUCAAUCAAAUAAGUUUCUCUUAGUAAAUACUGAAAAUGUCUAUAGCAAUCAUGUAUGAUGUGCCUUUCUUGUCAAUCCUGCAACUGAGUUUACAGGAAACAGAUUAUCAAGAGUAUGCUGCGGAAGAAUCCAGAACACAGGCCAACUGUGAGUUCAAGUAGCCUGUAGCCCUAGCCCCACCCUUGCAUAUAAUCAAUUUUAACACCAUCCAUUCUCUUACUGGCGCAUUUUAAAUUUCAGGCUGCAGAAUUGUUAAGGCAUCCUCAUUUACAACCAUACCUGGUCCGCUGCCGCAACACAUCAUCCAUCUUUCUUCCUGUAAAGUCUGAGCACAUUUCAAAGGAUAAAACACCGAGAAAACCAUCACCUAUCAAACAUAGUGCUGGAAAGGACAAUAGAGACAAAGAGGGAAGAGUACUCAAAAUGGCGGGUAGUGUUGAGCCAUUGGAGGAAAAUGCAAAUGUUCAGCCAAGGAAUCUACAGAACAAAGCAAAGCCAACACCCAUAGUUCAAACUGAAGAAAACCUAGAGACCAAGAGAGUGGAUCCUACAAGCUAUCCUGAGGAAGUAUCCAAUGCUGUUGAGAGUUCAAAAGGUGGGUCUACAAGCUGUGCCACAACCAUUACCAAUGAAGAUGAGCAGGUGAACGGUAUCCUUUUAGCACAGAAGGAAAGCCUUGACACCGAAACUUCUACCGGGAGUACACCAAAUUCUCAGCCUGGAGAUGAAAAAGAACAAGACGAAUCAGAAUCCGCUCCCAAACAUUUUGCGCAAAUUCAAGAUGGUGAUAUCAAGAAUGUAACCUCAGAGGAUGAUGCAAUGGAAUCCAACACACAAGUUCCUGCAGGGGCUGAAACAGAGAGCAAGAGUCUUCAGCCUGGAAAUCAUGGGGCAAUGGCAACAUCCAGUGCCAACUCUACAGAUAAAGGUGGCUCUCUUGAUGAUGAAUCAUCAAAUUCAUCAUCAGCCACACAAGGUAUUGAAUAUGAACCUAAUGCAGAACCCAGUUGCUGUCUACAGAAAAUGGAAAGCCCCGAUUCCCAGGCAGAAGGCGGGGCUCAAAUUGACUACAUCUCAUCAGAAAGCAACGACAUACUCCCAUGUAAGGAUGAAGCAGGAGCAAAAACAGACAAUACUAGUUGCUCCAUGGUAAUGGCGAAAGACGAUAUGAAUACGAUGAAUAAAGCUCCAAGCGAAGUUUCAUUGCUGAGCACACUGACUGCAGUUGGUGGAGAUGAAACUAAAGGCGAAUGGGAUAACCCGAGCCAGCAGAGGGCCGACGCGCUAGAGUCCCUGCUUGAGCUAUGUGCACGGCUGCUUCAACAGGACAAACUGGAAGAGCUUGCUGGUGUGCUGAAACCUUUCGGAGAAGAAGCUGUCUCGUCCAGAGAAACUGCAAUUUGGUUGACAAAGAGCCUCAUGACUGCACAAAAAUUUCUUGGAGGAGCCUAAUUUAUCAACAACUGAGAUGGUUUGAAUUUUUUCAAUAAAUUAUUGUAAAGGAAAAUGGCCUUCUGUUAACUAUGUUUCUUCCAAAAUGUUUGCUUGAUUCUCACAUAUUAUCCUGUCCUAUCCUCCACAUGAGCUCACCCCACCUGACUAUGUCAUAAAAAUUUGUUUGUGUAAUCUCCAUUUCUGUCUGUUGUGUAAUCGUUUGCAGCAUGGAUUAAAGCUUUCUGAAAUUGAUUAUAUAUAAUCUUGUCUGGGAUCAGUCUAGGUGAUGAGAAAAAUGGGAAUCCUGAGAAACCCAUAUAGCAAAAUCCUUGUUUUAUUUCAAUGUAUCAUAGAAAAGUAUCCAGACUAACAAACACAUGAUACCAACAGAAUUCAAGAAACAUAGUGAUAAAAAAGUUCAACCACCAUUCUCUUCUCUAAUCAUUCCUCUCUCUCCUUUCCAUGUCUUCUCUUCUGAGCUGAGAGUUCAGUGCAAGUAGAAGGCGAAGAAUGAGAGGACGGAGGCUCCGACCAACGACCCCAGAACAGGCAAAGUUGCUUGGGCAGCAUUGGAUGGUCCUGGUGCGGGAGACAUGACCUCAUCUGAAGCCAUGGCGGCGCUCAUGGAGGCGGCAGCGAUGAGAACAGCGCAUGAGAUCUUCUUCAUGUCCAUGAUGAUAUUGAAUUCUGAAUUUGUUGUUAAUUUAGAGUUUGGAAAAUAAAAGGAUUUGAGAGAAUUUGCAGAGACCCGCCUCGGUGACUAAUAAAUUUUUGGAGCAGGUCUGAAGAAAAAUGAAGGUGGUGGAGAGGAUUUUAUAGGGAGAAAUUUGUGCUAUUUUUAGGGUAGAAGAAGCUGUUUGUUAGAGGUGCUAUGUUUAGUAGGUUUUGCAAGGAGUUAGUGGCUUAUGUUAGUGGGUCAAUAUGGAUGGUUCCUAGUGGUAUCAAUGGUUUGACCAUUUCAAACGCCUAGGGAAAUAACGAAUGGUACCAAUUUUUUAAUGUAGAACUAUAAAUUUUGAAAUACAAACAUUUAGGAUUAAGUAAAAAAAUAUAUAUAAAGUAAUAAAAUCAAAAUAAAAAGCAAUGAAAUAAAAUAUAAAAUAAUAAUUACACAUAUUACAUAUAAUAUAAUGAUAUUAUUGAUUAAGGGUGAUAAACUUCAAUAUAAUUCGUUAACACAGAUUCAAACCUAAUACAUUUUUCACAAAUUUGGAUUGAGUAUAAUCAUGUUUGAAUAUAAUUUAUAAGGUAUGGCCUAAAGUAUCAUCAUUGUUACAAAGACGAGAUAAGGUGACAGAUACUUCUUUGAAGUGAACGAGUUGUUCCAAUCUAGCACGUAGAAUAGAUAUCGGAAAGAUAAGACAAUUCUUAUAGGGCAAAGGAAUACAUAAAGAUAAAUCUUCAUCCAUGUGCAUGGAAAUAACUACAAGAGGGUUUGGUCUAGAUAAAUAGGUUGUUAUAUCUAGAGUUUGACCUCGGCUAUCAAAAUGCAAUAGUUGGCCUAUAAUUGGAUCAAAGAAUACCUUAAGAUUCAAUGAUUGCAGAUAAUAUAAUUAAUUUAACUAUAAUUGUAAUGUAUUUAACCCAUUCAUUUCAAGCUUACAUUUAAAUAAAUAAGUUAAAUUAAAUCAUUAAAAAUGUGACGUUAGGAGGCUAAUCACAUAGACUUAUAAAAAAUCUAAAUCAACUUAAUUAUUAAACAAGAUAACCUAAUUAUUAUUAAAUAGGUUAAAUGGAUAACAUGAUAUAUUACUUAUUUAAUUAUGUCAUAUUUGAUUUUAUAUUUUUAAUUUAAUUAUUAUUUAGGUUGUGGUAUUUAGAAAAACGCUUUAAACUUUACUCAUCAUAGAUACAAACCACCGAAACUAAUUUCCACUCUGCUGUUAAUGCAUAUAUAUCGACGUUUAAAAAAGUAGUGGUCAUUAUUUGAAGGGCUUCAUCUGGAAACCAAGAAUAGAUAAUUUUAAUACAAGAUUGAAAUGGGUUUUCAAAAAUUAAAAGUUACUUGGACCUAGAAAGUCUUAUAGGAAGGAAAAUGAUAUCUCACAAUUAUGAUAAUGCGAAGACCAUGGAAGAGAUGAGUAAAAAAGUUUCUAAUCCAUAUCCUCGUAAGAAUAUUGAGAAUGUUUCGACAAUUUUUAUAUUAUGCAUUAAGUGUAUAAUAUGUUUAUGAAAAGCAAGUAAAAAAAUAUAUAUUUUUGAGGUAAAAUAGAAUUAAUUAGUAAUUAUUUUCAAAUUUUGAAAAUUAAUUUUGAACCUAUUGCCAAAAAUAACCCUACCUCUCCACAUUACUUGGUAUCCCAGGCCCAGCCCCCUGAAUUAUUGAAAACUAAUGAGUGAUGAGUGAUGUCUGAAUUCAAAGGAUGUGGCGGUUGAAGUGAAAGCCACCCCCUCUCUGCUUUGGCCCACGAUGACCAGAAAAUUAUCAUUUCUGACAGCUUAACGGCUAGUUUUCCUUUCCAUUUUAUAACGCCACCUCACCUAAUUUCACCUUCGUCGUGGACAUGCCACCUCGCAAUGCAUCCUACGCCUUCCCCCCUUCUACACCCAUCAUUUUUUUUAUUCCUCUAAAAAUAAAUCACAUAAAAAAUUUAAAUCUCUCCUAAAAUUUUUAAAAAUAAUAAAUGAAAAAUAAUGAAGAAAAUAUUUAAUAAAAUUCCAAAUUAAUGAAAAUUCAAUGUAUUUAAUUAAAAUCUAAGAAAUUUUUAGUCCAAAAUAAUAAUAAUUAAAAGUAUUUUUGACAAUAAAACAAAAAAUUAUUUUCAAACAGAUCCGGCCCUCUCAUUCCACGUGUUUAAACGACUAAUAUACCCUAAUACCCCUCACCCAAAUCGAGGUAGAUCUCAGUGAUUUGAUGUGACGCGGACUACGAAACGAUUCGUGUUCCGAAUCCAACGGACGCCAUUGCAUCUACGCCACGCCAACCCUCGCGAUGAGAACAUCGGGGAAAGUACACUGCAUCGUAAACCACAAAAAGCUUCCGAAAAGCCCAAUAAAUCACUGCCACGUAUGAGUACAGCCACGUGUUAUCAUAUCAUUACAAAUGUCGAAUUCAACGUUUGUGGCUUUGGGCCAUUCUGGGCCCCAACGUUUCGGACCCGAUACCGAACUGUCUCUCGCCGCGGGCCCACCGUAGUAGUAUCCCAAAAGGCAUAACAAAGCAAUAAAAAUGAGGAUUUAAAUCCCAAUAUUUCUCUAUAAAUUCAAUCUCUCCGGCAUCGAGCCAAACACACCUCACUUCUUUUCACAGAACAUCCUGCAUAGCAUUCAAUACAGUAUUCAACAGAAUGCAUCCCGCCACUUUCGCUGCAAUCCACAUAAUGAUGAUCGCAUUUCUAGUGUUCGCGUUCGGAUCUCCGGUUACGGCACAGGACGCCAUAGCGCCUUCACCGGAAAUGGACACCGGAGCUGCUUUUGCGCUGCCGGUUUCUGGUAUUUUGGUUGUUUCUUCUGUUAUAAUAUCUCUGAGCAGGGCUUUGUGGUGGUGAAUUUCGAAGUUUUGGUACGUUGUCUGUAACUAUGCCUCUGUUGCUGAGUAUUGUGUGGAUGUGUGGUGAAGGUAAAAGAGGCUUUGUGCGAUGUUUUUAUGUUUCUGGUGGAGAGGAGGAGAGAUGUGAUUAUGAUUUUGCAAUUGAUGUGAUUUUAUGAAUGAUAAAUAAAUUCACAUUAAUUAAUUCUUUUUUUUUUUCUCUGUUCUGUUAUCAAAGUUCUUCCAAAAUAAAUAAAAAAUAAAUUCUAAUUAAAAAAAACACACUUACACACAAAAAAGUUAUAUAUUAAAAAAAUUAAAAUUAAAAGCAGUUUCUUUAUAAGCCAAACUAAGCUGUGUACCGGCUUUAAGAUGUUGUUGGCUUUUCUUAAAUGUGAAUUUUCAGGAUCGAGAUAUUUAGAUUGUCAUCAAAUCAAGUGGAUCUUCUGUAAAUCCUAAUCGAAAAUAUAUAAUUAAGAAAAAUUCAUAUUUAUAUAUUCUUAAAACAAAUUAUCAUUAUGCAUUAGCAUCUAAAUAUAAAAAUAUAAAAUAAGAAUACAAUCAAAAGUAUAAAACUUAUUUAAAAUUUACAAAAAUGAUAAUAUAUACCUAGAAAACAUUAAUAUUUCUAAUUUCAAAAAGGCAACAGCAGAGGCAUAUACCCCUCCACCUGAUUAAUGUAUUUUUAAUUUAUUAUGAAUAAAAUUAAAUAAAUUUAAUUUAAAUAAAUAUAAAGACAUAAAACUUAGAAACCAAACGAUCAAUCUAUGAAAAAAAUUCUUGACCAUGUUUGUGCUAAUAUUAUAUAAUUAAAAAUAAUGAAAAAUAAUCCCAAAUAAUUAAAUUAAAUUAGAUUUGAAAUAAUUUUCCAUCAUGUCUCUUCGAGGAAGAAAUUUUUUUAAGAAACGAUGGCACAGCAAAGUAAAAUGUCACAGAGCCCACCACCAACCUGGUCAGCUAUUUGUACACGUGGCAAUUAUACGUGGCUGCUAAAUUUUCACACUGGGGUCCACAGUUCCUCUAAAAUCCCCUAUUUAUAGACUCCUUGUUCACAAACCCUGGUCAUACUGUCAGUGUCCGAUUCCUGAGUCUGUGUUUCCUACUUUCCUCUGAGCUUUGGAGUUGGUUCAUCUUCAUCAUUCACCAAUGGCGUAAGAUAGCAUCGGCCUUCGUGCUCAUUCUCGCGGUGGCGAUCUUUGCGGCCGCUACCACUGUCUCGGCGAACAAUGAGGCUCCGGCGCCUGCUCCGUCUGCUGCAUCAUCGUUCUACUCACCGGUGUCCAGUGUUUUUGUUGUCUCUUUGGUCGCCUUCUCUGUUUUUGCUCUCUUGAAACAUUGAGUUUCGAUGCGUUGAAGAUUGCGUGAGGCGAUUUAGGAUUCCAUGGGAUUCAUUCAUUCGCUGCAUUAGUUUUAUAAAUGAAUUUAUUGUGAUCGCUGCAUUAGUGUUAAUUUAUUCUAAUGUAUUGAUCUGUUAUUCCCUUUCUGGAUCUCUGUUCUUGCCUCGGCAAUUACUGUGAUUAAUAAAGUAUCCUUUGUCAGUCUCUGCAAUAGAUUCUAAAAAUAUGAAUGAUCUAUUCUUGAUGAUUUUGCCACAAUUUCUUGCUGUUGAUUCUUUUAUUACAAGCAGAACUAGGCAAAACAAAAAUUAAGUGCUUGUUUGGAACCUCUUAAUGAAAACAGAUUUAUGACCUUUGGAGCAGAAAAAUUAUCCUGAAAACAAACAGUGUUUUAUUAGCGUAAGUUGUAUGUUAACCUUUUUUUCUGGCACGAAAACAUUGAAGUAUUUACAAAAGGAUUGGACUUAUUUUGGUUUCUCAAAUUUAAGAAAUUCAAUCUAUAACGAAAAGUGAGAGAAUAGGUUUUCUCAAAUUGUGGAAUAGCCUAAACACUUUCACAUAUUUUUUAUUUCAGAUUUCAGUAAUAAUAGGAUGGUUCCCUUUCUUUUGAUUUUACCGAAAUCAAGCAAAUAAGCCAUUAGAGUGUUUUGUUGUAUAUGUAGAUUGAUGCAUAUUAUUGUAGUGGAUAAUAAAACAAAUUAAUUAUUAUUUUUUUGUAUGUAUUUUUAAGAGAAUUAUUUAUUGUGUUUUUUCAUAAAACAUUGCAAAUAAUUUUUUAAUAUUAUAAAUGAUUUUUUAGAUUUUAAAACUAUUUUUAAAAUUUGGUUAAACACCAAUUUUUUGUUUUUUAAGUAUAUAUUUUUAAACUAAAAACACUUUUUAAAAUUAUUGUCUAAAGCAAAUGAUACUAUGAUAAAACAGUUAAAAAAAAUAGUACUUUGAAAAUUUUGCUUUUAAAAGUUAAUUAUUAUUUCAUUAUUUUAUAAUUUAGAAGCGUUAUUUAAUUAAAGUACUUUUGACUAUGAGCUUCUUAAGCUUUUAAGAAUAUACUAAUAUAAUUAUUUGUCAACUUAAGCCUUUUAAACUUUUAAGAGUAUAAGAAUACAAUUUUCAAAAUUUGAUUUAGAGUAUGUUUGAUAGUUAUUUUGAGAAGUGUUUUUAGUUUUUUUAUUUUUUUUUUAUUUUUUUAUUUUUUUAUCUUUAAAAUAUAAAAAAUAUUAUAAAUACUUCAUAAAAUUGCUAUGAAACGCACUCUUAUUCAAAUGUUAAAUGUGAGUUAAGAAAUAUAUUUUUAUUAAAUUAAAACUUUUAAAACAAAAUAAAAAAUCUAAUUUUUUUAAUAAGAAUAUUUUUAAAUAUAAUUACUAAACAUAAAAUUCAAUUUCCUAUACUAGAUUAAGAUAUUUCUUCUAAUAUAAUUAUGAGAUAAUUUUGACGAAGAGAUUGUCAUGAACAAAAUUUAUUGUUUACGAAAAUACACUAAUUUUUAGUUAUUAAUAGGGAUGACAAUGGGGCAAAUUUUUUCGACUACCUGUCCUGCUCCAUCCCUAAUGGGACGAUGUUCAAUUUUAAUAAACGGGUUUGAAAUUUUUUUUAGAAAUCGGGGGCAGGGGAUUUUCCCCGUCCCAUCCUAAUUAUAUAUAAAAAUAAUUUAAUUUAAAAUUUUAAAUUAUUUUAAUUUAAUUUUUAUUUUAGUAUUUUUAAUAUACAGAUAAUAAUAAAAUAAGUUAUAAAAAUAUAAUAAUUUAAUUAUUUAUAAAUAUAUAUUUAUUUUAAUGUAAUUAAAAAUUUUAAAAUAAUUUUAAAGAAAAUUAAAAUUCAAAAAAAAGUUAAACGGAACGGGACGGGACGGGGCGGGCAUAAGAAUUUAUCAUACAUUUAAUUUUUUAAAUGGGACUGGGAUGAGAAUUAUUUUGAAUAAAUGGGGUGGGAUUGGGAUGGAAGUGACCCGUUGUCAUCCCUAGUUAUCAUCUUCUUUAAAUGUUUUUUUAUAUUUAUAUUUAUUGAAAGUCCACAUGUGAUUGGAGCAAGUAAUAACUUCUUAUAACAUAGAUAACCCUAUUCUAGUUAUUAGUUAUAUAAAAAAUUAUUUUCUUUCAAUUAUAAGUGCUCAUAUUUUUAAAAACACAACAUUUAGUUUGUGCUCUCGAAAACACGAUGUUUAGUUUGUGUUAUUAAGAACACAACUUGGUUCGAAUUCUCAAUGGCAUGACUGAUUACUAGGUAUUGUUUCAUGUGAUCAUAGGGGACUUUUUAUUAAUGGUACUUUAGUUAAUUUUGAUAUUGAUUAAUUAUAAAAAAGAAUAUCAACAUUAAAUAGUUACAUGCGAUGAGUACCCUUCUACAUUUCACAAUUUUGUAUUUUCUCAAAUUUCACGCUUUUUUCAUUUAUUAACAAUAAUAACACUUUUUAUACUACAAUUAUGUUACAAAACACUUUAUAUUCCCUAUUAAUUUAAUUAUUUUUUAAAUAUAAUUACAGAAAAAAAAAAUUAGUUUAUGAUGUUUAUGUUUAAAAUAGAAAUAUCCAUACCAUAUCUAUAGGUCGGUCAUUAAUGAAUUUAAAUUUGAAAAAGCAUAAUAAUUAUCCUUUUUAAGAAAAUUGGAUAAAAUAAUCUCUGAAGUAAAAAGGACGACGGAACUUCAAUGGUAAAUCUUUUGUCUUUUGGCCCAGUCCUAGAGAGACGUUAGGUGGUUCUUAAAAGACAAAAGGGAAAAGGUUUGGCGCCUUCUCAGUUCUCCCACCCAACCGACCUCGGUGUGGACCAAUCGGCACAUGCAAAAUGAGCUGUUGGUACAGGUGGCAGCAUCUGACCAUCUGUCACUAUUCACUGUGGGGUCCAUACGUGAUCAAACCGCCUAUAUAUAGACCCCUCGUUCUAAAGCCCCAGCCAGAUCUAGUCGGUUCUCCAGUCCUGAAUAGUUCCUCCUGUUUCUCCGUCUCCGGUUGGUUCUACUUCUCUGUUCUCUUUCAGAUUUCGAGUUGGCUUUGCUCUAUCCUUCAUCAAUGGCGCAAGUUAGCAUCGCGAAGGCCUUAAUGCUCGUUUUCGUAGUCGCGAUCUUCUCUGCGGCUGCCACAGUCUCGGCGCUGGAUAACUCACCUGCGCCGGCCCCAUCGCCGGACGCUGGAUCGGCGUUCUCCCUCCCGCUAUCCGGCGCUGUUGUUGCCUCCUCUCUCGUUUUUUCUCUACUCGCCUUUUUGAAGUACUGAGUUUGGCUAUGAGAAGUUUUUAUCGUGGAGAUCGUGGAUUCAUUCUGUAGAGACUUUGAUGAUUGUAUUUGAUUUAUUCAUGAUCUACAUUAUUUAUUUAUUUUUAAGUAAAUAAAAUUUUAAUUAAUUUUGUUACAUUGAUCUGUCUAUUCCCUUUCUGAUUCCCUCUUACGCAAAUUUUGCUUGCUUUUGAUUUAAAAAAGAAUGCUUCAGAAAUCACAGUGAAAAGAAUAUUCAUCAGGAUUAUAGAUUUCAAAAGCAACUCCAACAAAUUAGUAUAUUGUUAUCAAUCAAUAUUUGAAGAUUAAUUUUUUUUUAAAUUUAAUUAGGAGAUAAAUUUGCAAUGUAAAAUUCUGGAUAAAAAUUAUUUAGCAUGAAUCAUUUUUUAUGAUGCAACGCCCCUGGAGGUGUAAAAUGGAGAAUUAAAAAGGAACUAAAGCAUCAAUGGCAACUUUUUUCUAGAAAAUGACAUUAAAAUUUGAAUUUAAGUCACAAUCCACUAUCCACAUUGGUUAUUAAGAUUAAAAUAGAGUUAUUGGAUGAAAGAUUUUGAGUGUACAAGAAUUUUAGAAGAUUUAAUGUUCUUCUACAUUGAAAGAAACAUAUUUAGGAACAUUCAAAUCUAAAGUAAAUUUUUUUUAUUUCUUUAAAUCUAGGUCCGUUUAUAUUUAAUAAUGCAUGCUUUCUUCCUUUGCUUAGGAUCUAGAGGCCUAGGAAAGUUUUUUCUGCUCUUAAUGUGAUAAUGGGAUAGGGAAUGAAGAAAUCUAAAAUUUCCUACAACAAGAAUAUCAUAGCCUAAUUUGAAGUUGAGAAAUGUAUGUUAAUGUUAUACUUUGUGCAAUAAAUUUAGUAAAAUAGUCACCAAGAAUGUUAUUGCUAAUUUGAUAAAAGGAGAAAAAUUAGAUGACAAUAAUUAUGAUAUAUAACGUAGAAAAAUUCAUUACCUAUUAAGUGAACAAGAGAUCUUGAAGACCUUAACUAAUGUCAUGAUCCAAUCCAAAGAAGAGAAUUUAGCUUAACAUCACCAUGAUUUGGAAACUUAUUAUUCUUUGUGUUAGAAAAAAAAAAAAAAAAGACUAAUCCAACCUACGGUAAUCACCCUAGGGGGGUGAAUAGGGUGAUGAUCUAUUUUUCUAAAUUUAAACUAUGUGAAUGUUAGAAACAUAUAUAUGCAAGUAUAUAAUAAAACAAUAUAAAAACAAUUACAAAUAAAGUAAAGGAAUGGGGAAAAGAUAAUGUAAACAUAAGAUUUUUAUAGUGGUUCGGCGCAACCCGACCUACAUCCAUUCUCCUCCAACAUUAAUCCCAAACUUAGAUUAUUCUUUUCAAAUAUAUGCAAAUAAUUUCACAAACUCCUAGUAUAAAACUUUAGACUCAAAUGAUACAUGUAAACUAGGAUUGAAUAGUGUACUAAAGAUAUACAAGUUUUAGAACAAUGAUGUACUAAAAAACACUUUUCCAAAGCUCAAAUAUAUUUAAGAAAUGUUUAGGAAGGUUAAACUCAUAAAAUAAUAAAGAUUUGAGUCUUUUUAUAAAAUAAAAAAGUCAAACUAGUCAUUGGGGGGUCGACCGAUCAAUUUGGGGGUCGAAUGAUUAACUAGGCGUUAGUAUUUAAUAUUUGGCAAGUGGUCGUUGGACCUCGAUUGGUUACUAUUCAUACAUUGACUGGUUUAGGUGGGGGUCGAUCGGUUAUUGUUUACACAUUGACCGAUAGAAUAAUUGUUUUGGAAGAGAUAUAAGGUUUUUUUGCACCCCUUGACGGAUUAAGCUAGGGGGUCGACCGAUUCCUCAUCCAGUUCAACCAGUUGAGCCGUUUUUGGCUUAAUAACCAACCUUUUAAAUAAGUUUGGAAAACAUUUGAUAUAAGGAUUUAGUUGAAAACAUGGAAUCAUCUAAAUUUAAAAAAUUUAAAACAAAAUAACUCUUAGAUGAUUUUGGUGCAUAAGUAAAGAAUAUAAUGCAUGAAAAUCAUAGUGCACCAAUAACCUUACAAAGAGAUCUCAUAAAAUUUGGGUUUUGAAAAACACUUCUCUUUGAGAUCUUCUUUUUCUUCGUAAUUUUUCUUUGACUUGAUUUGUCUUUGUAAUUGUCAUUUUGAAAAUCGUCUUACCUAAUCACACUUAAAAUAUAAUUAUUAGUUCUAAACCAUAUUUUGUUAUCAUCAAAACCAAGAUUAAUCAAACUUUGGUUUCACACUUGUGUUAAAAGAGACUAUUGUUCAUGUUUCACUAUAGUAACAUGCACAAUGACUUAAUAUGGGAGUUUGAGAAUUGUCCCACUGCUUAAGACAUGUGGAAUAAGCUUAAGAUUGCCUAUGGUUUGACAUAUGCAACUAGGUUGCGAGUGCUCACUUUGUAGUUCGAGUAAUAUGUCUUGGACCCCAAACACACCAUGUUUAAACAUUUUAGGAUAAUGUCAGUAAUAAUUCGUGAUUUAAAGGUAGUCAAUAAUAACCUAACUUAUGAGUAACAAGUCACAAUUGUUAUUUGUUAUUUACUUGAAUCAUAAGGACAAAUAAAACUUAAUACUCAUGCAUAAUGAGAAUAUUAAAACUUUUACUAAUAUUUUUCACCAGAUUAAGUUAGAAAAUGAGUGUUUAGGGCUAUGACAUACCACACUUGUCGCCCAUGCAGGGUACAACAUGGUAAUAAGCCUAAACAUAAGGGACAAGGAAAACACGGUUAGACAAUUGGAAACUUGGGCCGAAAAAAAGGAAAUCAUAAUAAAAAUAGAAAAAAAAAAAAAAAAAAAAGCAAAUGAGGUGAAAAUAAGGAUAAGCAUAAAAAAAAAUGCUACAACUAUGGAAAACUAGGUGUCUCUGCUCGUGAGUGUAUUAAGCUAAAGAAGGUAUAGCCAUAUCCUAAUUUUCGACAUGGUGGACUGUAGGCUUAGGAGCAAUAAAACAUGUAACAAGGAAUAAAGUGACAUUGGGUGGUUGGCGCCGUGUUUUUACUUGACGUGUUUUAUAGUUUCUUAAAAAGUUUUUUCCUCCUCAAGGAGACAACGAUGGAAAAUUAAUUCAUAUUUAAUUUAUAUCAAUUGGUAUUAUUUUUCAUUUUUUAAUUAUAUAAUAUUGGCACAAAUAUGGAGAGAUUUUUUUUCAUAGAUUUGUUUCUAAGUUUUAUUUCUUUAUAUAUUUAUUCAAAUUAAUUUUAUUUAAUCUUAUUUAUAAUAAAUUAAAAAUACAUUAAUUAGGUGGCGGGGUAUGCUUCUACUGUUACCUUUUUAAAGUUAGAAAUAUUAAUGUUUUCUAAUUAUAUAUUUUAUUUUUGUAAAUUUUAAAAAUGCCUCUUAUUUCUUAUUUUUUAUUUUUAAAAAUAGAAAAUAAAAAUAAAUUUGACAAUCAUAUAUAAAAAGGUACAUUUGUUUAUGUUGACACAUCAUAGAUGAGUGUUGUUUGUUGUACAGGAAAAAAAUAAAUAUUAUUAUAGAAUUCUUAUUUUACAACCUUUUAAAAGCUUAAUUAUUGUGAAAUAAUAUUUAAUGUAAUUUAAUAAUGAAUAUAUAUAUUUACAAAAUUCAUAUUUUUUUAUCAACAUACCCCAUAUUAAUAUUAAAUAUAACAAAUUAUAUUAUAUAAAUAUUAAUUUUUUCAACAACAUAACUUCAAAAUAUCUAUUAUUAUUUCUUAUAUCAUUUUUAAUUAUUUUUUAAGUUUUUAUUAAUUUUCAUUUUAUCAAAAUUAUGUCUCAAAAUAUUUAUUGAUAUUUUUAUUUAUAUAUCUAUAAAAUCAAAUUACUAAUACAUCAAUAAAAAUCAAUAUUUUUAUCCUUACUUACAAAGCGCUUUAUAUUUUCUAUCAAUUUAAUUAUUUUUAAAAUAUAAUUACUGAGAAAAAAUAGUAUAUAAUGUUUAUAUUUAAAAUAAAAAUAUCCAUAUAUCUAGGUCAGUCAAGAUUACUAAUGAAUUUAAAUUUCAAAAAAAAAAAAAUAUAUAUAUAUAUAUAUAUAAACAGGCACAAUAAUUAUCGUUUUAACAAAAAUAAGAUAAAAUUAUCUCUGAUGUGAAAAGGAGAACAGAACCCUGCUUGAAUGGGAACUCUUUUUCUUUUGGUCCAGCCUAGAGAGACGUUAGGUGGUUCUCAAAAGGCGAAAUAAGAUUUAAGGAAAAGGUUCGGCGCCUUCUCCCACCCAACGGAUCUCGCUGUGGACCAAUGGGCACAUGACAAAUGAGCUGUUUGGUACAGGUGGCAGCAUCUGACCAUCUGUCACUAUUCACUGUGGGGUCCACACGUCUCCCCCACACGGUCACACCGCCUAUAUAUAGACCCCUGAUUCUGAAGCAUUAGCCAUAUCUACUCAUUCUCCCGAAUACUUUCUUCUGCUUCUCUGUUCUCUUUCAGAUUUCGAGUUGGCUUUGCUCUAUCCUUCGUCAAUGGCGCAAGUUAGCAUCGCGAAGGCCUUUAUGCUCGUUUUCGUAGUCGCGAUCUUCUCUGCGGCUGCCACAGUCUCGGCGCUGGAUAACUCACCUGCGCCGGCCCCAUCGCCGGACGCUGGAUCGGCGUUCUCCCUCCCGCUAUCCGGCGCUGUUGUUGCCUCCUCUCUCGUUUUUUCUCUACUCGCCUUUUUGAAGUACUGAGUUUGGCUAUGUGAGAAGUUUUCAUCGUGGAGAUCGUGGAUUCACUCUGUAGAGACAUUGAUGAUUGUAUUUGAUUUAUUCAUGAUCUACAUUAUUUAUUUAUUUUUAAGUAAAUAAAAUUUUAAUUAAUUUUGUUACAUUGAUCUGUCUAUUCCCUUUCUGAUUCCCCCUUUCGCAAAUUCUAUUUUGUCAUUAAAAAUUAUGCUAUAAGUUUAAUAAAUAAUAAAACAAUAUGGAUUUGAACCUCCUUUAAACUAAAAUUCAGUUGUGGUGCAAAAUGGACUAAAAAGGGACUAAUGCAUGAAUGGUAACUUUUUUUUUUUUUCUUAAAAAAAAAACAUUAAAUGAGUAUUUUUGUCUUUUAUGUUUCCUCGUGGAUGCUUGCUAUUGAAAAUCUUAUUUUUUUUAUUUUCCUCUUGUAUUGAACAACUAGGUUCCAUUUUUUUCCAUCCCAACCACGAAUGGUUAGGGGUCUAUUCUUAUGGUAUGUUUGAAAAAAAUCAAUAUUCAAUACAUUCAUGUCUUACCACUCAUUAAAAAUAGCUAAAAUAUCUUUUAAAAUUUAUUUUUAAAUUUUGAAAUAGUAAAACUUUUUUACCCCUUCGAUUUCUUAAAAUAAUUUUUUUUUAAAUACUUGUCUUCGUUUUACUUAAAGACUCAAAACAAUUGAACUUAGGUACAAAAUAACGAAAAGUAAAAAAAAAAAAACGCACACACAAAUAUACAUAUAAAUAAAUAAAACUUAAGUCCAAUAAUCAUCUAUUAACACCACUUUUAUUUUAUAACACUAUUGAUCGUCAUACAUUCUACAUAAUUAAACUAUGAUGGAAAACUAUUUCUUGAAGUUUAAUUCUGAGAUAAUUUUAACAAAGAGAUUAUCAUGAUCAAUGAUGACGUGGAUUAAUUGUCAAAAAUAUCAAACAUCGGAUUAGGGCCCUCCUAAGUAAUUAAAGAUAUCCAUAGGUAAAAAUAGGAGAAAAUAAUCCCUCAAGGGUAAAAAGGAGAACACCGGUUCUCUGGUGACCUUUUCCCUUUGGGCCCAGUCCUAAGAGACGUUGGGUGGAUCUCAAAAGGCAAAACAAGAUUUAAGGAGAAGGUUCGGCGCCUCCUCCAACCCAACCGACCUAGCUGUGGACCAAUCGGCACAUGCCAAAUGAGCUGUUGGUACAGGUGGCAGCACCUGUCCAGCUGUCACUAUUCACCGUGGGGUCCACACUUCUCGCGCAAACCUCCUAUAUAUCGACCCCUCGUUCUGAAGCCCAGUCACAUCUUCCAGGUGCUCUCCGCUCGAAUAGUUUUCCUGUGUCUCUGUCUCCGGUUGGUUGGUUCUAUUUCUCUGCUCUCUUUCAGCUUUCGAGUUGGUUUUAGUGCUCUGUCCUUCAUCAAUGGCGCAAGUUAGCAUCGCGAAGGCCUUCGUGCUCCUUUUCGUUGUCGCGAUCUUCUCUGUGGCUACCACAGUCUCUGCGCAGGAUAACUCCCCUGCGCCGGCUCUAUCGCCGGACGCUGGAUCUGCGUUCUCCCUCCCUCUAUCCGGCAGUGUUAUAGUCUCCUCUCUCGUGUUUUCGCUUCUCGCUCUCUUGAAGUACUGAGUUCGGAUAUUUGAGAAAAUUUUAAUUUUUAUGUGAGGAUUGAGGAUUGUACUUGAUUCAUUCAUGAUCUAUAUUAUUUAUUUAUUUUAAGGAAAUAAAAUUUAUUUUAUUUUAUCACAUUGUUCUGUUUAUUCCUGAGAAAUGGAGAACUUUUUGUAUGCUUGGACCUCACGAAACAUUGCACAAACUUCAUGUGGACCAAAUCUAAUAAUGAAUUUGAAUUUGAAAAACAAUAAUAACAAAUUGGGAUCAUUCGUCAUGUUGUGGGUAAUACUUUUCUAAGGAUUAAACAUUUGAAGCGAUUUCUUGUCCGAAACCACUUAUAAUUACGCGUGUUUGACCCUGUUUCAGUUUUGUAAUUUUUGUCUUUGUUUUUCCUCAACAUUAUAUUAAAUUUUUUUGAAUAUUUAAAUUGGGUUAGAAAAACUUUUUAUAUUCCCAAUAAUAAGAUCGAAAGUAAUUGCCAUACGUUUAAUAUAUAUACAAUUUCUAAUAAUGAAUAUAGAUUUUUAAAAUACAAAUAUCAAACGCGUAUUUGGAAAUUGUUUAUUUUUAAUAAUAAAAAACAAAUCUACAACUUUAAAAAUAGAAAGGAAAUCAACGAAAAUUAAUCUUAUAACUAAGAAAGCGGUUUGACAAAAUUUUGAUAAAAAAAAUAUGUUUUUUUAGAAAUAUUUUAAAAAUAAGUAAAUUUCAUUAGUGUUUUUAAUGUUUAAAAAAAAUAUGGAUUUGAAAUUUUAUUAAAUGUUUUUAUUAUUUUAAAUUAAAUGGAAAGUAAGAAAAAUAAUAAUAAUAUUUGAUAAAAUUUUAAAUGAUUGAUGAUUAUAUAGAUUUAAUUCAAAUUUUAAAUGAGAUAAAUGAAAUUAAUCUGUUUAUUAUUAUUUUGAGGAAUAUGGAAUGAUUUUUAUAUUUUAUAUAAGUAUAUAAUAUUUUUUUUUAAAAAUGAUCAUCAAAAUUAAAAAUAUUUGAAUUUUCAAUGAUUUUUUUUAUAGAAUUUUUAAUAAUAAUUUUGUAUAAAUAAUGCCACAUAAACGACAAAAUAUCUUUGGUGAUUGGGCUUUACGUGUAAAAAAGAAAGCUGAAAAUGGAUCACCUAGCUUUGGUGACUUUUCGUCAGUUCCACUUUCCAAGAGAGCCGUUAUAGAUUUUUCAAAGUAGAGAUAUUUUUGAAAGCAACGUAAAACGGCCACUUCUUGGCUUUCGUGUUUCACACGUAAUUAGAAAUUUAGAAGAAGCAUCUUUUUCUUUGUUUUGUUUUGUUUUUUUUCCACACCCAUGAAUUGAAUGGUAUGUAGAGAGUUGAAUGGAUCGAAUCAUAAAAAGCCAGCCCCUGACCGAGUCACUGAGUCAUUAUGUCUCAAUAAUGAUUCCUAACGGUGAAUCGUCGAAUUCAGAUUUCUUCCAAACUAAAUAGUUUGUAAUUUAUAUUUCUAUAUUGAGAUGUGGGGCAUUAGAGACAAGGAACGUGUCAAAUAAGAAGUACUGCGCCACCCAUCGCCAGCCCCGCCGUGGACCAAUCAGCACAUGCCAUUAAUGAGCUGUUUGGUAUACGUGGAAACCUAUGACCAACGGUUCCCAUUCACACUAGACCCACGCGUCUUUCCAAAGCUACCUAUUUAUAGAACUCAUCUUCUCAAACCCUAAUAGCAUAUUCUCUCAAGAGUUCGAAAACACUUUCAUCUCUAACCUCUCUGUUUUCUCUAUUUCUCGUUGUCUUACGGAGUUUAUUCAAACAUGGCCCAAGUUAGCACCGUGAAGGCCACUAUGAUCCUCUUUGCUAUUGUGAUGUUUGCUGCAGCUGCUACAGUCUCGGCACAAGAAGUUUCUCCGACUCCAUCGCCGGAUGUUGGAUCAGCCUUUUCCGUACCUCUCCCCAAUGCCAUGAUUGUUUCAUCUCUGCUCGUUUCUCUCAUCGCUCUCAUAAAGCAUUGAAAUGGGAUUCGAGAUGUCGAAAUUAUCUUUUAUGUAUUGAUUUUAUAGAAGGAUCGAGUAUUGUAUUGUACUUAUUAUUGAGGAUUGUAUUUGAUUUAUGGAUGAUUCUCAUUAUUUUAUAAAUAAAUAAAUAAAAUUUUAAUUAUCUUUGAUUGUUAUCAUUUUUGUUUUAUUAUUGCACUUUUUGAUUGCAAAAAAAUGCUUUAAAGCAUUGAUUUUAUUAUAUGUCUCUAUUUUUCUCAUUUGAUAAUUUGGAUGAGAAUUGAAAUAUUAUAGGAUCGCAUAUUAACAUUUAAACAUGUAUUUAAUAGCAAAAAUUCAACCGAUUACCUUGAUUUAUGUCAUGGGAAGUCAUUUCUUCUCCCUCUGAUAUCCAAUAAGCUGCUUUUUGGGUGUGUGAUUGUUCGAGAAUUAUGGAUCAAUGAGCUCUUCCCUUACCUUCCAAAAUUCAGUCCAAAGUGCAAAUAUAUGUGUUUGAGUCAGUCAAGUAAAUUAAGAUGAAUCCAUAAAAAAUAAAACAAUAAUAUGUAUCUAGUCCCCUUAUGGAUCACAAUACAAAAAAUAAAUUAACACUUAUUUAUGAUAUUAUCAAAUUGAUUAUGUAAGUCCAUACAUAAAAAUUCCAACAAAUUUUACAUGUUUUUUCUUAUUUAAUAAUUUUAGAUAUUUUUCUUUAAUUUAAAAUAAAUAAGAUAUUUAACAAAAUAUUAAAUUAAUGAAAGUUAAUUAUAUUUAGACAAAACUAAGUGAAAUUAUCCCUUAGUUUAAAUUGGUAAGAUGCUUGUACUUUUUCUUAAAGUAGGUGUCCUAGUCUAGAACAACCAGCUUUACAGCUUACCAGAUUUCCAGAAUUAUUACCCAUGUGCCAACCCAAAAUUUGGCACCAAAAUCAUUUUAUUUUAUUUUAUUUCUAAAUGUUAAUGGGUAAUUACAACAUACAAAUUUUUUUGGAGAAAAUUAUGCUUUAUAGAACUUGAAAUUGACCAUAUGAAUGACAUAAUUGACAGAAAAUAUAUGAAAUUGUAAAAGAUAAAAAUACCAAAGAAAAUGACACAUAAAAUCUUUUUAAAAAUUGAUUGAUUGCACACAUGGUAAUGAUCCCGAAAAAUAUCUUAAUUUUUUAUUUGAUUAAUAUAAGAAAAUGUUAUUUACAAAAUAUCUUUCUUUUUUUUUACAAAAACCAAUUUCUAUUUGAAUUAGAAAAUAUUUAUAAAAAAAAUAAUUUUAUGUUAUAAAAAAAAACUCUCAAAUUUAUUAAGAAAAUAACUAUAAUUUAUUUAUUUUUAUGUUUCUAAUUUUCGGUUUAGAUUUUUUACCCAAUUGGUCAAAGCACAAUUUUCCCCAUUUUUUAUUCACAUUCAUCAUUAAAUGAAUCAAAUAUUUGAAGGCCUUUCUCCUUCAAUAAUGUGCUACAGGGGAAUUGAACGUUGGGCUAAUGCCACCCUCACCAUUUGCGUGACAACAAGGAUUUGAAUAGCAGCAAUUAACUAUUGCCAGCUUGGAAAAAGAAACCUUAGAAAGAAAAAAAAAACUAACGUUCAUUAUUCAAAAUUAAUCAGUCUUUUUGUAUUUUAUAUUAUUAAAUUAAUAAUAAAUAUUAUAAAAGAACAAUUGGGUGUCACAUGCCGACAUGAGGAGUCUAAGACCAACUGGCACAUAACACAAUCAGUUCCCGGGAAACUCGGCUUUUAUCAUGUUUAAUAAUAAAUAAAUAAAAAAUGAUUUAAGAUUAAUAUAUUACAUUAUUUUUCUUAUUCUUACAAUUUAAAAUUGAAUUUAAAAGUAAAGUAAUUAUCGAGGAAGAAUCCACCACACUGUACCCACUCAGCCACAUGCGCCCGUUGAGCUGUUGUCUAGUGGCUGCCUGGCUGGGCCGCUUCACCAGCUGUUAUUAUUCGCAGUGGGCCCUACUUGCCACUCCAACGUCCUAUAUAUUUGGGGUGGCUUCCUCUCUCGGUCUCACCAGCCCUAAGCCACUCUCAAAAUCACUCGCCUCCUUUCUCUCUCUAACUCUCCCUCAGUUUCUCACCGCCGAUCAGCUUCUCCACUGUUCACCAAUGGCGCAAGUUGGCAUGACGAAAGCCUUAAUGCUUGUCUUCGCAGUGGUGGCAAUCUUCUCUACGGCUGCUACAGUGUCGGCUCAAGAUGGCGCCCUGGCACCGGCUCCGUCGCCAGACGUCGGAUCUGCGUUCUCCGUACCUCUCUCCGGCGCUGUUAUGGCUUGCUCUCUUGUCCUCUCUCUUCUCGCUCUCCUGAAGCCUUGAGUUCCGAUCCAUGAGAGAUUGCAGAUUUUGUAUAUGGAUUGAAAUUUGAGGAUCGUAUUAAAUUUAUUCUUUGUUCAUUUGGGAGCAUUAUUAUUGUUACCAUUUUGUGUUAUUAUUUUAUUAUCAUAAUGAUAUAAGAGAUUUAUACUUAUUAUGUCGGAUCCGAUCUGCGUGAUGCUCUCUCUUCUCUUUUCCUCAAGAGAUUGCCAUUCUGAUUUUCUUCCAACGAAGCGAAUUGUUCUUGCAAAAGAAAACACUAAACCAUAAAGUAUUUUUAUAUUUAAACACGCAUGCAUAUGCUGUUUUCCAUAUUUAUUUUCAUUGAAAUAUCAUAGAGAAUUUUUUGUAGGUAAUUUUAUUUAAUAUUUUUUAAAAAUCUAAUCACUGAUAUCUUCCCUUUUAAGCUUUUAAUUUAUUAAUGGAAUUAUUAAAAUUAGAAGUUAAAUAGAGAUGAUUACUGACUUAGUAAUAUGUAUUAUAAUAAGAAAAAUAUAUUUAAUGUAAUAAUUGUAAAUUUAUUUAAAUUUAAAAAUUUUCACUUUAUUCAAUUAAAAUUUCUUAUACUAACCUUUUAUUUAUAUAUUUCUGGACCCCGGCCGCAUGAUUUGCGUUGAUGCAAGAUAAAGUCUACAAAUUAACGGAUAUUUCCAAAAGAAGAAGGGUAACGGUCAUCACCAAAUGUUAUUUUAUUAUGUUAAUAUUUAAUAGUUUUUAAUUUCCUUUUUAUAGAAAAAUAAUACAGAGGGACCCACCAACAUAGCUGUAAAGACACCAACACUGCACUUCACAUGUCCAUUUCAGCGUACGGUUGAAUUGUGACACGUCAUCAGAGUUGGUCUCCAAAGUGGGCCCCACACGCCGCUGCAAUUCACGAACGCUGUUGCUUAUUAUUCUCUCCCGGUUUCCAGAUUGUUCUGUUGUUUAUCUUUCAGUAAUGGCGCAAGUUAGCAUGAACAAAGCCUUGAUGGCCGUCUUCACAGUCGCGGUAGUCUUAUCUGCGGCCGCUACAGUAUCGGCGCAGGAUACUUCGCCGGCCCCGGCUCCAUCUCCAGACGCCGGAUCGGCGUUCUCCCUACCUCUCCCCGGCGUUUUCAUUGUUUCCUCUCUCUUCUUUUCCCUUCUCGCUCUUUUGAAACCUUGAGAUUUAUGGAUUGUAUUGGAUUCAUUCUUUGUUUAUUGAAUGAUAAUGUUUAUGAACAAAAAUCAUGGUAUUAUUUUCGUUGUUCAUGGGAGGGCUUAAAGCUUCGAUUCACUUAUUGCAUAAAUAGAAGCUUGAAUCUCAAUUUGAUAGUGCAAUAGCACAAAAAUAAAAUAAAAUAAUUGAUCUAUAAACGUAUUCGAUUGGAUCAGUCAUAAUUAUAGAAAGAAACCACUUCUUGGAGGCUCCUUUUCAAUAUUUUUUCUUAAUGAGAAUACCAAAUAAUAAAAUUUAAUAUAUAUAUAUAUAUAUAUAUAUAUAUAUAUAUAUAUAUAUAUAUAUAUAUAUCAAUUGAAUAACAAUUAUACUAAUCGAAUUGAGUGGUUGAAUUUUCCCUUUUGAGAAAACAAAAAAAAAGAAAAAAAGGAAAGGAAACGCUAGGUAAGAUUUUGGGAUCGGAAGAUUAUUCAAGGUUUUUUAAAUUGGGUCAAAAAUUCAUAUUUUAUGCACAUUUAAGCUUAAAAUCCAAAUAAAGUGUAAAAAUUAAGUUGAAUGAUAUUUUUCAUUAAUCCUUAAAAUAUUUUUAAACCCUUUGCAUUGAGUGUAAAUUUUAUUUAUUUUUCCAUUUUUUUUCAUUAAGUAUUAAUCAUUUAUAACUUUUUUUUUUUAGAGAUAUUGAAUCUUUUUAUUCUUAUUAUAAGCAAAGAUAAAAAAAUUUCAUAUAAAAUUUAAUGGAUAAUCAAUAAAUGAAAUUUAAUUAUUUUUAUUAUUUUCAUAUAAAAAAUACUACUAAACAAGGUUUUUAAUUUUUAUUUUUUAAUUAAAUGUUUUUUUAAUCAUAUUACCAUUUUUUAGAAAGUAUUUUUUAAAAUAGUUUUUGAACUUAAUUUUUAUUUACUUAUAAUUUAAAAUAUAAAAUAAUGUUGAUUUUCAAUUAUUUAUAAAAAAAAAAUUUUAAAAAUAAUAAAAAAUUCAAAUGGUUAAAAUAUAAUUAUUAUGGUUACAUGAAUAAUGGUGCGAUAAAAAAGAAACUUAUAUGAAAGUUUAAUGGGUAUUUUGAUAUUUUAAUAUCUUAUAUGAUUUCGAUAUGUUAUGUUAUACUUAUCAAACUUUAAUUUUUGGCCCAAAACACAAUUAUACCUUUUAAAUUUAACCGUACCAAUCACGGACUAAAGUGUCAGCUAAAAAAAAACAUAAUGGAACUUUUGGUUUCGCCGCAGAGAUGUGUUGAAUAGCUUUUUUUUUAACGUUUCUUCUUUUUCUUUUCCUACGGUAAAAAUUAGGGUUUGAAAACGACAUACAACGGUUGGUUAUGCUUUAUAUUGAAAAUAAAUAUUGUCUUUAAAUAUUUUUAUUCAAAAAUUCAGUUUUCAAUUAUUUUUUUUAGUAGAACAGAUGGGAUAUUUUUUUUAUAUCAAAUAUAUUUAAGUUCUAGUUUUUAAAAUAAAUUUCCAUUUACCUUAUCGUCUAAAAAUAUUUUGCAUUUUUGAAAAAUAACCUGCAUUUCUUAUUUAUUUUUUUAAUAAUAAUAAACGAAUACACAAAAUGUGAUGAAUGUGAUGAUGCUAAAAGCAUAGCUGAAAAAGGAGAGGGAAAAAAAAAAUUGUUUCCAUAUUUUUUCCUUUCCUUUCCAACAAAUACUUUCGGCGUGAGCCACCGACAUCAACGCUGGGACAUGCCGAAGUUGAGCUGUUCGGUGAAGAUUGUGGCACGUCACCAUAUGUCACAUCAUUAGUGGGGCCCACACACUGUUUUUAAACUCCUCUGGCUCUAUAUAUUUGACCCUCUAAUGCUAGGCGUGACAGACGUUCUAAUCUGCUCUCAAAGUUUCUAGAUCAUUUCCCUUUUUAUCGUUCACUAAUGGCGCAAGUUAGCAUCAUCAAAGCCUUAAUGCUCGUCUUCGCAGUCGCGAUUAUCUCCGCGGCCACUACAGUCUCGGCGCAAGAUGGUUCUCCGGCGCCGUCUCCGUCUCCAGACGCCGGAUAGGCAUUUUCCAUUCCUCUCUCCGGUGCUGUCAUUGCUUCAUCUCUGAUCCUGUCUCUUCUCGCUCUCUUGAAGCAAUGAGCUCCGAUCCGUGAGAGACUCUCAUAUUGCAUUGCUACCGGUUGAUUUUGUAUGGUGAUUGUAUUGAAUUCGUUCUUUUUUUUUUUUUUUUUUUUGUUUUUUGUUAUGAAGAAUUAUAACAAAUUUACAUUUCUUGCUUUGGAUUUGGUCGUGCUGCACCUGUAAUCUCUUGUUCACGCUUCACAAGAUUUAUUUUAAAAAAAAAUUUACAUCAAGGAUCUGAUUGAACUUUUGGGGGAUCCGCGCGAUCGACUUUCAUGUAUUUUGUAUCUCUCGAUGAAGCUAGAGGAACAGAAAUAGGCAGUGUUUAUACCUUCUUGCUUGUUCACGCAAUAUCUAAUAAUAAGUUAAUAACAAUGUUUUCAAAAGCAGUUUCACCACAUUUUCAGUAGCGCAUGUAUUUGAUUGAAUUAGAAAACUCUUUACUGAUUUUUAAAAAAUAAAAAAAUUGUUUCAAAAACUUUUUUAAAAAAAAUAUUUUACCAAAUUCAAAUUCAUAGCGACAGAUAUUCAUCAACGGUUGCUGAAGUACUUAUAUUUUAUAAUUUUGCUUUACAAUGAAGCAUAAAUAAAGUUUAC